UUUUUUUUUGUAGGAUCAUGGCCAAAAUUGUCCGAUGAUUACCGUGUUUCAGUUGCCAUGUAUACUGAAUUGAACUGACCUUUUGUUGCAGUUUGGUGGACAAUAUUCUCAUGCAAAUGCCAUGCCAAUCCAGAGAGACUACUGCGAUACUUCGUUUUGGAAUAGUAACAUGCAUGCUCCAAUCCAGGAUGCCAUGGUACACUUCCUUACUGUUGUGAAGAUCGCUUUUUAGACCGACAUGUAAGUUAGACCGGGUUCAAAUAAGACAUAGAUGAUCCUUCCCUGUUCUGAUCUCAUUGGGUAUCGUGUCUAUACCAUUAUAAGAUUACGGUAAGUAUUGAUAAGUCGUGGUACCAUUAUAAGAUUACUAUAAGUACUGAUAAGGGAUACAUCUCGACUCCAUUCGUAAUUAAUUGCAAUACUACAAAAUUGGAUCUGGCAGCCGAUAUAGUGUAACUUCUCACAUGUUGUUUUUGUUAAGCAGAACAGUUAGUAGUUAGUUAGCAUACAUUAUCUGGCAAGUUAAUUUUUUUGCUUGUUGAUAAUCUGCUUACAGCUACAUUUCGCAACAUAACAACUUGAAUUUGAACAGACUAGUUACAGUCAGCCAUCCAUUCAUUCUGCUGCAUCUCUGGAAGAACCUUUUCAUCAGCUCCUAUUAUCAGAAUACAACUCAAUGCCCGAGGUACUACAAUCAAUAUGCAUUCUCAGUCUUGCUGCAUCACCGCAUAUUUGUUUCUCUGUCAGCAACAUAGACAACAUUCAAGUAUACAGUCUUGCGAAACAAGAACGAAAGUUUGUAGGACUGUUUUAAUUGCCACAUAUAUUGGAAUUGAACUGAGUAUGCAUUUCCUCUUGUUUGCAGCCUGGUGGACAAAAUUCUCAUGCUGAUGGGAUGUCAACCCAGAACUACCACUACUACAAUCCUUAUUGAGAGUUUCGAGAUUGUGAUGUGCUAUAUGAGUAUGUGGAUUAUCAUGUUUUUCUUGAAUAAUCGUGUCCUAGGAACACGUGCUGCUUGCUUGUGGAACAACCUCUAAAUUCAUGUACUCCCUCCAUUCAUUCCAAAAUGUAGUGUAUAUUUUGUUUCCUAAAAUUUCAAACCUUUCUAUGUUUGACCAAAUUUAAUGAAAAAUAUACCAACAUCCAUAGUAUAAAAUUAGUAUCAUCAGAUUCAUCAGGAAAUGUACUUCUAUAUUUUAUUUAUUUAGUAUUUUAGAUGUUCAUAUUUUAUCCUAUAAACUUGGUCAAACAUAGAUAUCUUUGACUUUUGAAAAACUUAAUAUGCACUACAUUGUGCAAUGGAGGGACUACAUAAUGAUGUUAUUCUACAUGGUUGCUCGUAGAUAGACAUAUGUGCGAGCAAGCAAGUACAAAACACAUGUGGACGAACAAUAUAAACCUUUGUACGAUUGCCGGUCCUGUUUCGUUGUGUUAUUUGAGUGAUGAUAUAUAAUGUAGAAAUGCAAGGCCUUAUUAGGGCAUCUCCAAUGCAGAACGCUUAUAUAGGCGCUUAGAGAAAUAAAAAAAUCAAGGCGCUGUUUGUUUCAACACUAAGGCUUAGUUUGGCAGUAUAGUUUUGGAAAAACCAAAGUAUUCUAAAAAACAUAGUUUUUCUCAAUUUUGACAAGUCCACCGCAGUGUUUGGCUGCUAUUGUUUUGCUGCAGCUUUUUGACUGAUAACUUUACUACAUGGCCAAAUCAAUCAGCAGUGCUAACUCAGCUACACAUAGCAACACGACCGGAUUAAUCAGCGUGUGCUAACGGAUGCUGGCUGCAUGCAGCCCUGCCAUGCACGAUGUCAGCCUCCUAUGUAUCAUGUAUGAGUGUGUGCUUCAAUGACCAACAAUUUACUCCACAUGCUAGCUUGGUUCGAGACGUGCAGCACUACUAGAAGCCCAGAAUCCAGAAAGUAACCAGCAACCAGCGAAUUGUUUAAAAUAUACGCAACAGAUAGAGGAGUCGGAGGCAUCCAUCAGAUUUUCUAAUCUGGACAUCAAUGGGCGAAGUGCUCUCCCCAACGACUUCUCUUGGCUUGGUUUUAAAAAAAGUGAUCAUGACCUCUUUUUAAAAUACUGUAGAAAAACUACAGUAUUAGAGAUACCACAGUAUCUUAGACCACUUUAAUUUUUUAAGCCAAACACCUCAAAGUAUUUAAUACUGAAGUUUUUUUUAGAAACCACAAUAUUCCCAAAAAAACUUUAAAAAUACAUCACUCCCAAACGCACCCUAAGGGCAUGUCCAACGCGGCGCUUAAACACAGGUGCCAGGGUCUAAAUCCCGGCCAAUUAGCGGUUGCUUUCUUUAAUCCUGGUGCCAGGUGAAGCGUCGACGCAAAAGUGUGCAUCCAGUGCCAGACACUUUUCCUUCCUGCUGUAAGCGCCCAGGCUGUUUGAUUAGCCCAUGUCGUUAGCAUCUGCCGUUGUAAGUCCAGGCGCUUAGAUGACUUUUUAAUUUUUAAUCUUUAAUUUUUCCUUCAUUAGCGUCUAUACAAGCGGCUCCCACGCCUGCGUUGGACAUGCCCUAGGCCUGAAGAGUUGGUCAGUCAUUUUUCUUUUGUGUAAUCUGAGUAGUCCAAUUCCAAUGUUGUCUUGGUCGAGAUAGAGAAAAAAUUGAGUGCCAACUCUUUAAUUGUUACUUGUAAGUGAACGCCAACUUUUGUGCAUUCACUCCUCACAAACAAGGAAAAAAGAACUAUUGUAUUCAAACUAGAUUUUUUUUUAGGCAAGCACUGAGCAACUAGAUGAUAUCAGGGAACUAGCUAUCUUUGUUAGUGUGAAGAGGGAAGCAUGCAGAACGGCGGGGAAGCGAGGUCGCGACCACUGUCCUCCUCCUCUUGCGCUUCGGAGUCUCCGACUCGGUUGGAGGCUCCACAAUCUGCAACGGCACCUCGUGCACCGUGGGUUCCUGAUCUAGUGGAUGCUCUAUCCUGGAUCUGAACGCCCACCACCUCCUCCUGGUCCACGGGCUGGAGGAAUCUCGGCCUGCUCCAUCGCCCAGAGGAGGAUUUCGAUCUUCUUCUUCGGUUGUGUGGGCGGGGGGGAAAAGAUUUGCUUUCUCCCUCUUCGUCAUUUCUCUGAGAGUGGACAUUGCCGUCCAGUUCAGCUGCCUUAUAUUGUCAAACCAAGAACGGAUCUCUGUCAACCUAGCCAUCUUGACCUGGUCGCCGCUGGCGAUCUCCACGAACUCGGCAUUGUCGCCGCCGGCGAUCUCCACGAAGUCGGCGUUCUCGCCGCCGCCGAUCUGCUUGAUCUGAUGCUCCAUCGAGGUUCUUGCGUGGAUGGAAGAGGGGGUGGAUGUGGAAGAUGAGAAGAGCAAAGUUGCGGCCGCGAGGAGGAGAAGGCUAGCAGAUGGCCGCGGUUGUAAUGGUGAUGGAAUAGGGGAAGGACCACGGCGGUGGCUUUGCAUUGGACGAGAGGGGCGUGCACAUUUUUCCUAGGACUGAAAUGCCCCUUGAUUAAAAGGUGCCCCCACCUUGUCAUAUUUUUCCUAGGACUAAAAUGCCCCUAGAUUAAAAGGUGUCCCCACCUUGUCAUUAGUACUUUCGAGUACUUUCAUCCGCGUACUUUCGAGUACUAUGUAUGUAUGCGCCGUUAGAUCGAGACGAACGAACGGCUCCAAAAAAUGCCAACUACUGUAAAAGUUAUAAUAUCUUUAUAUCUCGUUGUAUUAUUAUACUGAUUAAUGGUAUUUUGGAUAAUUUUGUCAUGUUCGCCGAACUAUGCAAUUAAUAUAUAUGUAAUAGUUUUGAACUUUUGAUAGACAAGUCUUAGAUUAUGUGCUUUUUUUGACAGUGCGGUCUUGUGUGAUGCUUGCUUGAUGAUCGAGCUCUGUCCAUGUUUUUGAAGAUGUUGUGUCAGUCUUGUAAUAAUGAUAGAAAGAGGAGGAAGAGGCGACUGGCACCUUGGUUUGCUGCCCACCAGUCUCACUCCGACUCCGAAUCUGAUUCCAAUCUCAUCUCGAAUCGGUCUCCACCUCCGACUCUAUCGCCAACACACACACUUAAAUCCGUCCACACACCCAACAAGAGCCACGCGAUGUGGGAUUGAUCCACGCACACCCAGGACCAACACCUGGAUCUGGCGACUAUGGAUCUCGCUGCUGCUGCUUAUGGCCACCAUGCAGGAGUAGACGAACGGCCGAUCAUCCGCAGACACAUAAGCCUUGAGAACUGCCCGUCCCUGACCCCGCCUACUCACGGCUACCCCGACGAGGACAACGGCGGCGAGCGGCCACCCUUCGUCCUUCUCGAGCUGUACGCCUACUUCGCCGACCGCGACAACGCCACCACGGCCAGCUGCGAGAUCACGGACCCCGAGCUCAAGGGCAGCAGCAUCAAGCUCACCUUCUGCGUCGUCCGCCCGCCACAGGUCUCCUACCUGUGCGUCCAUGCCGUCGGCCUGGGUAACCCCAUGUUCGCCGACCCGCCUGAAAUCGUCGCCGCGGAGGCAGAGGGGAGCCUCGCCUUCAUACGCGUCCUCAUCGGUGACACUCCGCUCGACGCCGUGCUUGACAACAGCAAGCGAGAGGAGUUCUUUGUGUAUGACGCCCGUCCUCUUGCCUGUGUUUUGAAUUUCGGUUUGAGAUUUUUUUUCGCCCUAGGCCGAGAUGGCCGAAUUUCGGCCAUUUUCAAAAAUUUCGGUUGAAAUUUGACUACAAUUUGAUUCAAAUUUGACCAAUAUUUGCCAAAUUUGAUCGAUUUCCGCUUAAGAUACUUUCCGCCCCAGGUUGAGAUGGCCGAAAUUUGUUUUUUCGGCCGAAAAUCAAAACACAGCCCCUCGCUCGUGCACCUCCCGCACCCCGGCCACCACCAGUGCUUUGUCGACGGCACAGCCGCCAUCGUACGCCAGUGCCGCGGCCGCCAUGAUGGAGCCGGUGGCCACGACUACGCCUACAUCAUUGCCGCGCAGUCUCGUUGGUUCGGGUUCGACAACCCUUCCCAUCUCUGGCUCUACCACUCCGACACCGGCGCUUGGAUCAAGCAGCCGGUGGCAGUCGAGGAGCCACUCCCCGACAACUACACGCAUGGCUGGAAGGCCGCGGUGUGGAGCAUCGGCAUUGGUACUAGUACUAUCUUGUCUCCGGAGGACUGGCGCAUCGAUUACGAGCUCGACUCCUCUGAGUUGCGACCAGACAUUGAUGGUACCGUAGCUCCUCACAUUGGCCUGCCCAAGCUGAGCCUGCAAGAUGACGGCAUUGUGUACUUCCUCACCAAGGUUGACUACCGCCACACAGAUCUCCCGGCAUGGGUGCUCGCUGUUGACAUGAGGAACAAGACCGUCCGGAAAGUCGCCGAGUUUAGCCCGACCAGGAGUGUCGGUUUCUCCUUCGACUACGAUGCUAGUAGGAUCUCCAAAUAUCUUAGAGUUGCUCCAUGUGUUAAUUGAACACACCGUGGAGAUAGUCAUAGAUCAUGAACAACGUACGAAAUUAACAUGCAUGACAUGGAAGCACACGUAAAGCAGCAUUUAUAUUAGGGCGGAUAAAUAGCGGUUUAUUGUCGAAACUACAUUCAUGCGAUCUGACUUGUAGAUCCGUGUAAAAUUUUCUUUUAAUUUUUUCUUCCAUAUUUUAUAUGUUCUUUUUUUUCUUUUUUUCCUUAUUUGAAAAGGGGAAUGACCCCGGCCCUGGAGAAAAAAAAUUAUGUUCUUUCAUUUGACCGAGACUUCGUUAAGUCUCAGUCGACUGAAAUCUAGUCACACCCUUUUAUGAAAUUAUGACCCAGCAUAAUCUGCCCAUCAGGAUUCAGUUCCUAGACUUGGCACGGGUGAUCACAUUUCCCCCCGGAUUUAUUCUAGCUUUCCCCACACUAUUCUUUCAAUGGUAUAGCAUGGCUGUCAACUAGGAGGUGUCUAUGACGACUUUCUUUAUCUCAAGAUCCGCUGGCUUAGUCUCUCGAAGGUGCUCAUAGGACAGGGUGAGUGUGUGUGUGUUUGUGAGCAUAUGUGUAUGUAUUGUGUUUCUCAUAAAAAAAUUAUGAAGUUUAUAUAUUUGUGCCAAUUUCUUUAUUUGGUGCAGAGCUCUAAAGUGCAUCACUAAACGAAUAUCUUCUCAAAGGUUUAUGUUGUACGACUAGAUAUAAGGUUUAUAUUGUCAAAGAUUUACAUAUAUGUGUUUAUGAUGAACUUUUUAUAUACAAAUGGUGCUUUUAAUUGAAGUAUAAUUUAGCAUCAAGGGAUACAAACACAGUGAUCACACAACCAGUCUCUACAUGAUUAGAAUGCAAAUAACCAACAUCAACACAUACACAAGAAAUAUUACAUUUGCCAAAACCAGUCAUACAAGACUGAAACUAUACCUAGGCAGAGGAAAAAAGAAAAAAAAUGAAUCAUUCAAAACAACAGAUGAUGAAAUACAACAACCAUCGGCAUCAACCAUCUGUGUACAACACAAGAAAUGAUACAAUAAGGUGGACAAUGCACUUAUAUUCCGACAUUUAUAUGAUUCAUUCACUAGAGAAUUAUCGAAAUGUUGAAGAAUCAUCUUAGUAAAUCCAAACAUCAGUUAACCCAAAUUAUAGACCCAACCGACCAAAAAUUAUGCAUCGACAUGUCAACUUCAAAAUUCAUCUAAAAAACUACUCGGAUGCACAAUUAUCUAGAAAUCAUCACAAUAUUUAUAUCCAUCGGAUACAUUAAAUAGCUUAUUCACGAGUCACGACCGUAAGUACUUUUGAAAUAAGGUCGUGACAACGGACAACAAUACAGCUCUCACAACAUCCCAAAUCAAAGCAACAAUAAUGCGGCUGCGAAGCCAACCAGGAGCGAGAAGCAUGCCGGCACCAGCGAGGCGGCACCGUUCUUGGGCGCCGGAGGGGAAUCGGGAGCGGGGGCGGGAGAGGGCGGCGCGAGGUCGUGCUCGAGCGCAUGCACGGUGGCCUCGUCGACGUGGAGCGACUUCUCGAGGACGGCGUCCGGGAUGCCGGACUCGAAGAGCGUCACGGGCAGGGAGACGGUGCCGGGGCUGGCGCUGCCGAAGGCCGAGAAGGCGCGCGCCAUGUGGUCGCCGCCGUUGAACUGGAAGUGCACCAUGCCCUUGGGGAACACAAACAUGUCGCCCGUCUGCAGCGUCUGCGCGUACAGCUCGUUUUUGGUCUCGUCGACGAGGCCCACCAUCAGCGGGCCCUGCACCACGUAGAGCAGCUCCGACGCCCUGGGAUGGACGUGCGGCGGGUUGACGGUGCCGGGGCCGAAGACGAGCGCGGCGUAGGAGACGGACUGGCCCAGCAGCGCGGGGAACUCGGCCGCGGUGGCCUUCGACACGGUGAACUUGGCCGGGUUGGCGGAGUUGUCGGCGAUGAGGCCGGUGUAGGUGAAGAAGGCACCGUCGAGCACGGACGCGUUGGUGCCCGAGGGCACGACGAAGUCCGUGAGGAUGUCUGGGUCGCUGGCGUGGGCGACGAAGGCCACACCGAGGAGGACGAGCAGAGUAAUACGAGAUGAUGGCGCCAUUUUCGCCGAGUUGUAAGGUUCUGUGAUCGGUGGAGGCCGCCGGCUGGAGGCUAUUUGUAGGAGUCGCCGGGGCAUUGGAAGAGCCGUCAAGAUGACACUGCCAGCUGGAGCAAAUUUAGCUCGCCAUCACAAUUGUUGUUUCCAAUGUUUGACAGGUAACUAGCAAAUUUGUAAGCAUCGAUGAAGCUCUUGUGACAGUUGAUAAUACUAAAUCCAGUGCUACAUUACAUAUUUGCAGGGUUUUGGUGGACAAGUCAUACAGCUGUAAUUUAGCAAGUCGAGAGUGAGACACAAAGUAGUACCAAAGUUUUGAUCAGAAUGCUAAUAAUUUCCCUAAUUUGCAUGCAGGUAUGUCCAUAUGCAUUGUAGGAGACACCAAAGAGUUGCAUGACAUUGGCCAGUUAAUUCUUCCUCAGAUGUGUGCCAAUUAGCCCUAGCGUGCGUGGGUGCAUGCGUGUUGCAGCUUGGUGUUCAUCAUGUCUAUCGAUCGAUUUUCUGUAGAAAUAACACAAGCAGAUCUGCAAGAUCUUCACCGCAUCUCACAACCACACCCUCCAACCAUCACUCUCUUAGCAACGUUGUAGCUACACAUUCAACUUCAAUGGUAUCCAUGAACUACUACUCCUUGGUGUUGGUGGUAGUUGCAUUGGUCUGGGCACUGGCUGCCGUGGCCGGCGACCCAGACAUCCUUGGUGACUUCAUCGUGCCGGCGCCGAUGGUUGGCAUGCCGCCGACGAACAUCACCAGUGACUUCUUCACCUACACCGACUUCCUUGCCGCAAAGGAGUACAUGCCGUGGCCUCCACAGUAUUUCAUUGUGAUCAAGGCCAAUAUGGAGGUGUUCCCUGCGCUCAACGGGCAGAGCGUGUCCUAUGACAUGCUUGUGUUUCCCUCCAGAUACGUCAACCCGCCACACACCCAUCAGCGCGCCGCUGAGUUGCUGUUUGUCCAAAGCGGUGCGCUCUCCGUCGGAUUUGUUGACACUGCCGGUAAGCUCUACACACAGGUCCUCGUGGCAGGUGACAUAUUUGUGUUCCCCAAGGGCCUCGUGCACUACCAGUACAACCAGGGCCCCAACCCUGCCACCGCGUUCUCGGCCUUUGGCAGUGCCGCCCCGGGCACCGUGAAUGUGCCUGCCUCCGUGUUCGGCACCGGCAUUGACGACGCCGUGCUUGCCAAGUCAUUCAAGACUGACUUUUGGACGGUGCAGAAGCUCAAGGCAGCGCUCACUCCACCACCCAAGAAGUGAUUCAUUGGUGCUUUUGUCGCUCUUGUUCUUCGUCACUGUAUCGCCCCUGCCGCGAACUAAUAAGGCACCAUGCUAGCGAAUGACAGUGGCAUAAUCCCGGUUGUAUUGUUAGUUUGAGUUGUGAUUGUUGUGACUUGUAAUAAUAUGCUUCUUGUGGUUUGUGAGUUGAUAUUGUGAUCGUGUCAGAUUUAUUUAAUCAUCGUUUGAAGAAUGUGCCAUCAAAUACACUUGCGUCUGUUAUGCAACUAUGUUCUUUUUUCCUUGCAUUGUUACAUGUAAACUCUGCCAUGUUACUUUCAGUGUGAGUCUGUGACGUAUUAUAGCAAUUAUACAUUUGAGUAGUGUUGUCGUUCCGUUUCAGUAUUGUUUCAGCCCCAAAGAUGGCCUAACUCCACCGUGUGAGAAGCUUGUGCUGCUUUUGACGCUUCACCAUCUCGUGUUUUGGAGUUUUUGCUGCUCACUAAACUAAAAAACUCCACAAGGUGCUUUUGGAGUUUGCGGCGGCGGCGUGUGUGUGUGUGUUUGUGUGUGUGUGUGUGUGUGAGAGAGAGAGAGAGAGAGAAAGAGAGAGAGAGAAGGGUGUAGAAUAUAUUUUUCUGCGCUAAAUUAUUUCAAGGCUCUUCAUACAGUGUUUUGCAAUUUUUCAGGAUCAUAUUUUAGGAUUCACACAAACAAAAAGUGAUGCAAAAAUCAUGAUCUCACAUUUAUGAGUAGUAGACCGAGAAUAUACUUUUCCAUGUCUACUGAACCACACUCACUAUCUUAAUAUUGACAAUUCCAGGUGGCCAAUGCCAACCGUUUUCGUUUUCUUUUUUGAGUUGACCAACAGCUUCCUAGUUUAGGGUAUAUGACAGAAAAGUCUUUUUGUUUGUUAGACAACAUAUAAAUAAUUACGCAUGCAACCAAAGAAAAUCCCACUCGCAAAAAUGAGCACCAACAAAAUAACUAAAAUAAUGUUCCCCACAAAAUGAAAAUAAAAUAAAUUAUGCAUGAGUCCGUACAAUGGAUUGAAUGCAUCUCAUUGUCAAUAGCAGGUAGCCUAAAUACAUUUAAUUGAUUAUAAGGACAUUAUUCUUUUGGGUGGCUUAGAAGCAUUUUAAUUGAGGUCACUAGAAAAUUCACACAAUUGCGACAUUCACUACUAUGGACUAAUAGAGUGCACGACGCGGCGUGUGGGUCCUACUCGCUAGCCAGCCGCCUCCUACCCAAAAAAACUAAGGUUUCUCUGCCACCCGCCGGCGCCGGCGUCAGUCCGCCCCGUCUACCGUGACCUUAGGGCCAUGGGGACGGAGUCAAUCCUAGUCCUUGCCGGUGCGAGAGCUCCGUUUUUAGAUCCUUUUUCGAGAUUUGUUAGGAUUUGUGUCCUACUCGGGAAGGCGAGACGACGGCUACUCCCUGUAGAUGGAAUAAAGGUCUCCCCGCCUAGUCCCCGUUCCGGUGAUGCGUCUAGCAUUGUCGGUGGGCGUGUGGAGGUGUGUCUCCGGUGAAUCUGUCUCUGGUGGAUUUGCUCGGAUCUGUUCGUCAUUCGUCUUUGUUCGUGUGUCUUCAGGUUGGAUCCUUCUUAUCUACACUCUUCAUCAACGGCGGUUGCUGUUUUGGUGCGUUGGUUCUACGGGGCCUUAGCACGACGACUUCCCGACUGUCUACUACAACAAGGUUUGCCCGGCUCCAGCGAGGGAGGGGCAAUGACAGCGGCGCGUCUUCGGCUCGCUUCAGUGCUUGUAGUCGUCGCUAGGUGGUCUACGAGUCUAGAUGUCAUUUUUAUUAUUUCUAGUGUUCGUUGUACUAUCAUGAUUGAAAAUGAAUAGAUCGAAAGUUUAUCCCACAAAAAAAAAGAGUGCACGACGCAACAACAAACUGACCUAAUCGGCUGGCGCCAUUUUCGCUAGGUUGUAAGGUUGCGUGAUCGGUGGAGGCCGUCGGCUGGAGACUAUUUGUACGAGUCGCCGGGGCUUUGGAAGAGCCGUCGAGGGGACCCUGCCAGCUGGAGCAAGUUUAGAUCGCCAUCGUCAUUGUUGUUUCCUAUGUACGACAGAUAAUUAGCAAUUUGUAAGCAUUGGUGAAGCUCGUACGACAGUUGAUAGUUAUUCUAGACCUGAUAAUACUAAGGGGUGUUUGUUUCCAGAGACUUUUUUGUGUAGGGACUAGAAAAAGUCUCUCUUAGAGAUUUUUUUACUAAAUGGGAGAGGCUUUUUAGGGACUAAACUAAGCAUUUGGGACUAAAUGAAGAAGACUCUCAAUGAGAGUCUUUUUGGGACUUUUUGGGACUUUUCCAACAAUGCCCCUCCAUGCAUUCAUUGGCCUGCCACUCCAUGAUGUUGUUUGAUUAUUAUUUUUAUAUAUACUAAGGGCAACAUAGUCAUUUAAUAGUCUCUAGGAAGGGACUAGGGACUUUUUAGUCUCUGGAAACAAACAGGGAGGAACUUUUUGAGGACUAGAGACUUUUUAGUUGGGACUAGAAAAAGUCCUAGGACUAGAGAACCAAACACCUCCUAAAUCCAGUGCUACAUUGCAUAUUUGCAGGGUUUUGAUGGACAAGUCAUACAGCUGUAUAUAAUUUACGAAAAAAAUGAAAUUAAUUUACCAAGUCGAGAGUGAGACACAAAGCACCAAAGUUUUGAUCAGAAUGCUAAUAUUUUUCCGAAUUUGCAUGCGGGAGGUGUACCCAUAGGCAUGGUUGGAGACACCAAGGAAUUGCAUGACAUUGGCCAGUUAAUCCUUCCUCGGAUGUGUGUCAAUUAGUCCUAGCGUGCGUGGGUGCAUGCGUGGGUGCGUACGUGUACAUCAAAUGCUCAAUCGAUCUUCGGUGGCGCUAAACUAAGCGAGCGCGCAAGAUUACUAAUCAUGCGCGCCGGUCGCUAGUUGCUUCGCUCUGCGCGCCACUCGCUCCAUCUCCCAGGCUUUAUGCAAAUGAUAGUAAAACACAGUACGGAAACUAGCAAUGGAAUUAAUUCCUGUUACGGUAGCCACACGCCUUAUCUUCGUCCCGGAACACUUUUGGCUAAUGGUAGUAAAUAAAUAAGCACACAUGGUAAUGGUGUUACCGGACUCACUGCACGACGCACUAUGAACCCGCAACACUUCCGGCUAAUGACAGUAAACAAACCAACAUACGUGGUAACGUUGUUACCAGACUUCAUGCACGACGCACUAUUGAACCACUAAAGAACCAUGGUAAUAAAUAUUCGCAUAUAUGGUAAUGCCACUUGCACCAUUCAUAUACUCGCUUGAUCAUAAAAAUAAAGUGAUCACAUGGUAAUGUACAGUUUAGUCGAUACUUGGCAAUAAUAAGGAUAUGCUAGGGCCCUAUAGUUAUUGGUUUACACUUUUUAGUUGUUGUUUUUAUUAUAUAUUUGAAAAAAGUGAUUAGCAUAUACCAGUAUAGUGUUGGCGUGGGGAAUAUAGUAAUAGAACUAAAUCAGUUCCUGGUUGCAUGCACCAAUAGCCAUGUAGUAUUAACUAUUCAUCUAAUUCUCGUACAUAGUAAAAUCCUUCACAAAUAUGGUAACUAACUGAUUUCCUUACUACAAGCAUGUACCACACCUCACCCAGCACCCACUAGAUAUUCACCCAAAUGACUCCUAGUAAAAUCCCUUGCAAAACAUAGUAACAAAAUUACAAGAAAUUACCGAAUGCAAGUACAACUACGUGAUAGUAACAGGGCAUGCAUAGUAUAGUAAAUUAUUGUUCAAAAAAUAGUACAAACACUAUCGAGUUUAACAAUAAGUGGUAAUCACUGAUCUCUAUUUACAAGAUGAACACAAAAUUUAUAUUUUGCUCCAUGUGAUUUACGAUCAAAUAUAGUACAAUAGUAAUGCGUAAGCACUUUUACUAGGAAGUAGUAAGCAUUACGAGCAAACAUGCAAUACUAGUGCUGCAUAGUAAAUGGCAAAGCACGUUCACUACAAAGUAGUAAGCGUUACCAUCAAAUCAGGAAAGUGGUGGUUGAUGUACGGGGGUUGUCUGGCUUGGUGCGGGUGUGUGGUUAAGCCGGAGCGCAGAAUAAACAACUAUGCGCGCACGCACAGUUUAGCACUCCUAUAUAUAUAUAUAUAUAUAUAUAUAUAUAUAUAUAUAUAUAUAUAUAUAUAUAUAUCUUCACCGCAUCUCACAACCACACCCUCCAACCAUCAAUCUCUUAGAAAACUUGAGUUGCAUUCAGUUUCAAUUGCCUUCAUGAAAUACUAUUACUUGGUAUUGGUGCUGGUGCUGGUUGCACUGGCCUCAGCGCCGCUGGCCACCGUGGCCGGCGACCCAGACAUCCUCACCGACUUCGUCAUCCCAAACAUGUAUGGGAUUGUUGGAAAUAUGCCCUAGAGGCAAUAAUAAAAGUAUUAUUAUUAUAUUUCCUUGUUCAUGAUAAUUGUCUUUUAUUCAUGCUAUAACUGUAUUAUCCGGAAAUCAUAAUACACGUGUGAAUACAUAGACCACAAUAUGUCCCUAGUGAGCCUCUAGUUGACUAGCUCGUUGUGAUCAACAGAUAGUCAUGGUUUCCUGGCUAUGGACAUUGGAUGUCGUUGAUAACGGGAUCACAUCAUUAGGAGAAUGAUGUGAUGGACAAGACCCAAUCCUAAGACUAGCACAAAAGAUCGUGUAGUUCAUUUGCUAGAGCUUUGCCAAUGUCAAGUAUCUCUUCCUUUGACCAUGAGAUCGUGUAACUCCUGGAUACCGUAGGAGUGCUUUGGGUGUAUCAAACGUCACAACGUAACUGGGUGACUAUAAAGGUGCACUACAGGUAUCUCCGAAAGUAUCUAUUGUUUUAUGCGGAUCGAGACUGGGAUUUGUCACUCCGUGUAAACGGAGAGGUAUCUCUGGGCCCACUCGGUAGGACAUCAUCAUAUGCGCAAUGUGACCAAGGAUUUGAUCACGGGAUGAUGUGUUACGGAACAAGUAAAGUGACUUGCCGGUAACGAGAUUGAACAAGGUAUCGGUAUACCGACGAUCGAAUCUCGGGCAAGUAAAAUACCGCCUGACAAAGGGAAUUGAAUACGGGAUUGAUUAAGUCCUUGACAUCGUGGAUCAUCCGAUGAGAUCAUCGUGGAACAUGUGGGAGCCAACAUGGGUAUCCAGAUCCCGCUGUUGGUUAUUGACCGGAGAACGUCUCGGUCAUGUCUGCAUGUCUCCCGAACCCGUAGGGUCUACACACUUAAGGUUCGAUGACGCUAGGGUUAUAAAGGAAGCUUGUAUGUGGUUACCGAAUGUUGUUCGGAGUCCCGGAUGAGAUCCCGGACGUCACGAGGAGUUCCGGAAUGGUCCGGAGGUAAAGAUUUAUAUAUAGGAAGUCCUGUUUCGGCAAUCGGGACAAGUUUCGGGGUCAUCGGUAUUGUACCGGGACCACCGGAAGGGUCCCGGGGGCCCACCGGGUGGGGCCACCUGCCCCGGGGGGCCACAUGGGCUGUAGGGGGUGCGCCUUGGCCUACAUGGGCCAAGGACACCAGCCCCUAGAGGCCCAUGCGCCAAGAUAAAGGAAAAAGGGGAGAGUCCUUAAAGGGGAAGGCACCUCCGAGGUGCCUUGGGGAGGAUGGACUCCUCCCCAUCCUUAGCCGCACCCCUUCCUUGGAGGAGGGGGCAAGGCUGCGCCCUCCCCCUCUCCCUUGGCCCUAUAUAUAGUGGGGAAAAGGAUGAGCAAUCAGACCUAAGGCCUUUGGUUGCCUCCCUCUCCCUCCCGUGACACAUCUCCUCUCCCGUAGGUGCUUGGCGAAGCCCUGCGGGGUUGCCACGCUCCUCCACCACCACCACGCCAUUGUGCUGCUGUUGGAUGGAGUCUUCCUCAACCUCUCCCUCUCUCCUUGCUGGAUCAAGGCGUGGGAGACGUCACCGGGCUGUACGUGUGUUGAACGCGGAGGUGCCGUCCGUUCGGCACUUGAUCAUCGGUGAUCUGAAUCACGACGAGUACGACUCCAUCAACCCCGUUCACUUGAACGCUUCCGCUUAGCGAUCUACAAGGGUAUGUAGAUGCACUCUCCUUUCUACUCGUUGUUGGUCUCUCCAUAGAUAGAUCUUGGUGAUUCGUAGGAAAAUUUUUGAAUUUCUGCUACGUUCCCCAACAGUGGCAUCAUGAGCUAGGUCUAUUGCGUAGAUUCUUUGCACGAGUAGAACACAAAGUAGUUGUGGGCGUUGAUGUUGUUCAAUAUGCUUACCGUUACUAGUCCAAUCUUGUUUCGACGGUAUUGUGGGAUGAAGCGGCCCGGACCGACCUUACACGUACUCUUACGUGAGACAGGUUCCACCGAUUGACAUGCACUUGGUGCAUAAGGUGGCUAGCGGGUGCCAGUCUCUCCCACUUUAGUCGGAACGGAUUCGAUGAAAAGGGUCCUUAUGAAGGGUAAAUAGCAAUUGGCAUAUCACGUUGUGGUCUUGCGUAGGUAAGAAACGUUCUUGCUAGAAACCCAUAGCAGCCACGUAAAACAUGCAAACAACAAUUAGAGGACGUCUAACUUGUUUUUGCAGGGUAUGCUUUGUGAUGUGAUAUGGCCAACAAGAAUGUGGUGAAUAAUAUGUGAUGUAUGAGAUUGAUCAUGUUCUUGUAAUAGGAUUCACGACUUGCAUGUCGAUGAGUAUGACAACCGGCAGGAGCCAUAGGAGUUGUCUUUAUUUUUGUAUGACCUGCGUGUCAUUGAAGAACGCCAUGUAACUUACUUUACUUUAUUGCUAAACGCGUUAGCCAUAGAAGUAGAAGUAGUCGUUGGCGUGACAACUUCAUGAAGACACGAUGAUGGAGAUCAUGAUGAUGGAGAUCAUGGUGUCAUGCCGGUGACAAGAUGAUCAUGGAGCCCCGAAGAUGAAGAUCAAAGGAGCUAUAUGAUAUUGGCCAUAUCAUGUCACUACUCUUAUUUGAUUGCAUGUGAUGUUUAUCAUGUUUAUACAUCUUAUUUGCUUAGAACGACGGUAGUAAAUAAGAUGAUCCCUCAUUAAAAUUUCAAGAAGUGUUCUCCCCUAACUGUGCACCGUUGCUACAGUUCGUCGUUUCGAAGCACCACGUGAUGAUCGGGUGUGAUAGAUUCUUACGUUCACAUACAACGGGUGUAAGACAGUUUUACACAGCGAAAACACUUAGGGUUAACUUGACGAGCCUAGCAUGUACAGACAUGGCCUCGGAACACGGAGACCGAAAGGUCAAGCAUGAGUCGUAUAGUAGAUACGAUCAACAUGAAGAUGUUCACCGACGUUGACUAGUCCGUCUCACGUGAUGAUCGGACACGGCCUAGUUUGACUCGGAUCAUGUAAUCACUUAGAUGACUAGAGGGAUGUCUAUCUGAGUGGGAGUUCAUAAGAUGAACUUAAUUAUCUUGAACAUAGUCAAAAGACCCUUUGCAAAUUAUGUCGUAGCUCACGCUAUAGUUCUACUGUUUAGAUAUGUUCCUAGAGAAAAUAUAGUUGAAAGUUGAUAGUAGCAAUUAUGCGAUCAGUAGAAAGCUCAUGUCCUUAAUGCACCGCUCAAUGUGCUGAACCCCAAACGUCGUUUGUGGAUGUUUCGAACAUCGAACAUACACGUUUUGAUAACUACGUGAUAGUUCAGUUAAAUGGUUUAGAGUAUAGGCACCAAAGACGUUUUUCGAAAUGUCGCGGAACAUAUGAGAUGUUUCGAGGGCUGAAAUUAAGAUUUCAGGCUCGUGCCCACGUCAAGAGGUAUGAGACCUCCGACGAUUUUCUUAGCCUGCAAACUAAGGGAGAAAAGCUCAAUCGUUGAGCUUGUGCUCAGAUUGGCUGAGUACAACAAUCACUUGAAUCAAGUGGGAGUUGAUCUUCCAGAUGAAAUAGUGAUAGUUUCUCCGAAGUCAUUACCACCAAGCUGCUAGAGCUUCGUGAUGAACUAUAACAUAUCAAGGAUAGAGAUGAUGAUCCUUGAGGUAUUCGCAUUGUUUGACAUCGCGAAAGUAGAAAUCAAGAAGGAGCAUCAAUUGUUGAUGGUUGGUGAAACCACUAGUUUCAAGAAGGGCAAGGGAAGGAAGGGAUACUUCAUGAAACGGCAAAUCAGCCGCUGCACCAAUGAAGAAACCCGAGGUUGAACCCAAACCCGAGACUAAGUGCUUCUGUAAUAAGGGGAACAACCACUGGAGCAGGAUUACCCUAGAUACUUGGUAGAUGAGAAGGCUGGCAAGGUCGAUAGAAGUAUAUUGGAUAUACAUUGUGUUAAUGUGUACUUUACUAGUACUCCUAGUAGCACCAGGGUAUUAGAUACCGGUUCGGUUGCUAAGUGUUAGUAACUCGAAAUAAAAGCUACGGAAUAAAACGGAGACUAGCUAAAGGUGAGCUGACGAUAUGUGUUGGAAGUGUUUCCAAGUUUGAUGUGAUCAAACAUCGCACGCUCCCUCUACCAUCAAGAUUAGUAUUAAACCAGAAUAAUUAUCAUUUGGUGUUUGCGUUGAGCAUUGACAUGAUUGGAUUAUGUCUAUCGCAAUACGGUUAUUCAUUUAAGGAGAAUAAUGGUUACUCUAUUUUUGAAUAAUACCUUCGAUGGUCAUGCACCUAAAGGAAUGGUUUAUUGAAUCUCGAUCGUAGUGAUACACAUUUUCAUGCCAAAAGAUAUAAGAUAGUAAUGAUAGUACCACUUACUUGUGGCACUGCCAUGUAAGUCAUAAUGGUAUAAAACGCAUGAAGAAGCUCCAUGUUGAUGGAUCUUUGGACUCACUCGUUUUUGAAAAGUUUGAGACAUGCGAACCAUGUCUGUUGGUGUAUAUGCAUGAAGAAACUCCAUGCAGAUGGAUCGUUUAGACUCACUUGAUUUUGAAUCACUUGAGAUAUGCGAAUCAUACCACAUAGGCAAGAUGACUGAAAAGCCUCGGUUUCAGUAAGAUGGAACAAGAUAGCAACUCGUUGGAAGUAACACAUUUUGAUGUGUGCAGUCCAAUGAGUGCUGAGGCAUGCAGUGAAUAUCGUUAUGUUCUUACUUCACAGAUGAUUUGAGUAGAAGUUGAGUAUAUUUACUUGAUGAAACACAAGUCUGAAUUAUUGAAUGGUUCAAGUAAUUUCAGAGUGAAGUAGCAAAUCAUUGUGACAAGAGGAUAAAAUGUCUAUGAUAUGAUCAUAGAGAUGAAUAUCUGAGUUACGAGUUUUGGCACACAAUUAAGACAUUGUGGAAAUUGUUUCGCAAUUAAUACCGCCUGGAACACCAUAGUGUGAUGGUGUGUCCGAACAUCAUAGUUGCACCCUAUUGGAUAUGAUGCGUACCAUGAUUUCUCUUAUCGAAUUACCACUAUCGUUCAUGGGUUAGGCAUUAGAGACAACCACACUUAUUUUAAUAGGGCACCACGUAAUUCCGAUGAGAUGACACCGUAUGAAUUAUGGUUUAGAGAAACCUAAGUUGUCGUUUCUUAAAAGUUUGGGGCUGCGACGCUUAUAUGAAAAAGUUUCAGGAUUAAGCUCGAACCCAAAGCGGAUAAAAUGCAUCUUCAUAGGACACCCAAAACAGUUGGGUAUACCUCCUAAUUCAGAUCCGAAAGCAAUAUGGAUUGUUUCUAGAAUCGGGUCCUUUCUCGAGGAAAAGUUUCUCUCGAAAGAGUUGAGUGGGAGGAUGGUGGAGACUUGAUGAGGUUAUUGAACCGUCACUUCAACAAGUAUGUAGCAGGGCACAGGAAGUUGUUCCUGUGGCACGUACACCAAUUGAAGUGGAAGCUUAUGAUAUUGAUCAUGAAACUUCGGAUCAAGUCACUACUCAACCUCGUAGGACGACAAGGACACGUACUACUUCGGAGUGGUAAGGUAAUCCUGUCUUGGAAGUCAUGUUCCUAGACAACAAUGAACCUACGAGCUAUGGAGAAGCGAUGGUGGGCCCGGAUUCCGAUAAAUGGCUUGAGGCCAUAAAAUCCGAGAGAGGAUCCAUGUAUGAAAACAAAGUGUAGACUUUGGCAGAACGGCUCGAUGGUCGUAAGGCUAAUGAGUACAGAUGGAUUUCAAAAGGAAGACGGACAAUGAUGGUAAAUGUCACCAUUAAGAAAGCUCGACUUGUCGUUAAGAUGUUUUCCGACAAGUUCAAGGAGUUGACUACGAUGAGAUUUUCUCACUCGUAGCGAUGCUAAGAGUCUGUUGGAAUUAUAUUAGCGAUUACUGCAUUAUUUAUGAAAUCUUGCAGAUAGGAUGUCAAAACAUUGUUUCCUCGACGAUUUUCUUGAGGAAAGGUUGUAUGUGAUACAACCGGAAGGUUUUGUCAAUCCCGAAGGAUGCUAAUAAGUAUGCAAAGCUCCAGCAAUCCUUCUAAGGACUGGAGUGAGCAUCUCGGAGUUGGAAUGUAUGCUUUGAUGAUGAUCAAAAAUUUUGGGUUUGUACAAAGUUUAUGAGAAACUUGUAUUUCCAAAGAAGUGAGUGGGAGCACUAUAGAAUUUCUGAUGAGUAUAUGUUAUUGACAUAUUGUUGAUCAGAAAUGACGUAGAAUUUCUAGAAAGCAUAUAGGGUUAUUUGAAAGGUGUUUUUCAAUAGAAAACCUGGAUUAAGCUACUUGAACAUUGAGCAUCGAGAUCUAUAAGGAUAGAUCAAAAUGCUUAAUAAUACUUUCAAAUGAGCACAUACCUUGACAUGAUCUUGAAGGUGUUCAAGAUGGACCAGUCAAAGAAGGAGUUCUUGCCUGAGUUGUAAGGUACGAAGUUAAGACUUAAAGCUCGACCACGGCAGAAAAGAGAGAAAGGACGAAGGUCGUCCCCUAUGCUUUAGACGUAGGCUCUACAGUAUGCUAUGCUGUGUACCGCAUCGAAAGUGUGCCUUACCAUGAGUCAGUCAAGGGAUACAAGAGUGAUCCAAGAAUGGCUCACAGGACAGCGGUCAAAGUUAUCCUUAGUAACUAGUGGACUAAGGAAUUUUUCUCGAUUAUGGAGGUGGUAAAAGAGUUCGUCGUAAAGGUUACGUCGAUGCAAGCUUAACACCUAUCUGGAUAGCUCUAAGUAGAGAUACCGGAUACAUAUAAUGGAGCAACAAUUUAGACUAGCUCCAAGUAGAACAGUCAUUUGGAAUAGCUCCAAAUAGAGUGUGGUAGCUGCAUCUAGGAGAUGACAUAGAGAUUUGUAAAGCACACACGGAUCUGAAAGGUUCAGACCCGUUGACUAAAACCUCUCUCACAAGCAACAUGAUCAAACCUAAAACUCAUUGAGUAUUAAUCACAUAGUGAUGUGAACUAGACUACUGAUUCUAGUAAACUCUUGGGUAUUAGUCACAUGGUGAUGUAACCUGUGAGUGUUAAUCACAUGGCGAUGUGAACUAGAUUAUUGACUCUAGUGCAAGUGGGAGACUGUUGGAAAUAUGCCCUAGAGGCAAUAAUAAAAGUAUUAUUAUUAUAUUUCCUUGUUCAUGAUAAUUGUCUUUUAUUCAUGCUAUAACUGUAUUAUCCGGAAAUCAUAAUACACGUGUGAAUACAUAGACCACAAUAUGUCCCUAGUGAGCCUCUAGUUGACUAGCUCGUUGUGAUGAACAGAUAGUCAUGGUUUCCUGGCUAUGGACAUUGGAUGUCGUUGAUAACGGGAUCACAUCAUUAGGAGAAUGAUGUGAUGGACAAGACCCAAUCCUAAGACUAGCACAAAAGAUCGUGUAGUUCAUUUGCUAGAGCUUUGCCAAUGUCAAGUAUCUCUUCCUUUGACCAUGAGAUCGUGUAACUCCUGGAUACCGUAGGAGUGCUUUGGGUGUAUCAAACGUCACAACGUAACUGGGUGACUAUAAAGGUGCACUACAGGUAUCUCCGAAAGUAUCUAUUGUUUUAUGCGGAUUGAGACUGGGAUUUGUCACUCCGUGUAAACGGAGAGGUAUCUCUGGGCCCACUCGGUAGGACAUCAUCAUAUGCGCAAUGUGACCAAGGAUUUGAUCACGGGAUGAUGUGUUACGGAACAAGUAAAGUGACUUGCCGGUAACGAGAUUGAACAAGGUAUCGGUAUACCGACGAUCGAAUCUCGGGCAAGUAAAAUACCGCCUGACAAAGGGAAUUGAAUACGGGAUUGAUUAAGUCCUUGACAUCGUGGUUCAUCCGAUGAGAUCAUCGUGGAACAUGUGGGAGCCAACAUGGGUAUCCAGAUCCCGCUGUUGGUUAUUGACCGGAGAACGUCUCGGUCAUGUCUGCAUGUCUCCCGAACCCGUAGGGUCUACACACUUAAGGUUCGAUGACGCUAGGGUUAUAAAGGAAGCUUGUAUGUGGUUACCGAAUGUUGUUCGGAGUCCCGGAUGAGAUCCCGGACGUCACGAGGAGUUCCGGAAUGGUCCGGAGGUAAAGAUUUAUAUAUAGGAAGUCCUGUUUCGGCAAUCGGGACAAGUUUCGGGGUCAUCGGUAUUGUACCGGGACCACCGGAAGGGUCCCGGGGGCCCACCGGGUGAGGCCACCUGCCCCGGGGGGCCACAUGGGCUGUAGGGGGUGCGCCUUGGCCUACAUGGGCCAAGGACACCAGCCCCUAGAGGCCCAUGCGCCAAGAUAAAGGAAAAAGGGGAGAGUCCUUAAAGGGGAAGGCACCUCCGAGGUGCCUUGGGGAGGAUGGACUCCUCCCCAUCCUUAGCCGCACCCCUUCCUUGGAGGAGGGGGCAAGGCUGCGCCCUCCCCCUCUCCCUUGGCCCUAUAUAUAGUGGGGGAAAGGAGGAGCAAUCAGACCUAAGGCCUUUGGUUGCCUCCCUCUCCCUCCCGUGACACAUCUCCUCUCCCGUAGGUGCUUGGCGAAGCCCUGCGGGGUUGCCACGCUCCUCCACCACCACCACGCCGUUGUGCUGCUGUUGGAUGGAGUCUUCCUCAACCUCUCCCUCUCUCCUUGCUGGAUCAAGGCGUGGGAGACGUCACCGGGCUGUACGUGUGUUGAACGCGGAGGUGCCGUCCGUUCGGCACUUGAUCAUCGGUGAUCUGAAUCACGACGAGUACGACUCCAUCAACCCCGUUCACUUGAACGCUUCCGCUUAGCGAUCUACAAGGGUAUGUAGAUGCACUCUCCUUUCUACUCGUUGCUGGUCUCUCCAUAGAUAGAUCUUGGUGAUUCGUAGGAAAAUUUUUGAAUUUCUGCUACGUUCCCCAACAGGGAUAGCGUCGAUGAACAUCACCGGCGACUUCUUCACCUACACCGGCUUUCGUGUCACGAACGGGACCCUACCAUGGCCUCGGUGGAACCUCAUUGCGAUCAAGGCCAACAUGGAAGCGUUUCCGGCGCUCAAUGGGCAGAGUGUGUCCUACACCAAGCUCGUGUUCCCCUCCAAAUGCGUCAACCCACCGCACACCCAUCCGCGCGCUGCCGAGCUGCUAUUUGUCCUCAACGGUGCACUCCCCGUCGGGUUUGUCGACACCGCUGGCAAGCUCUACACACAAGACCUCUCAGUCGGCGACAUGUUCGUGUUCCCCAAGGGCCUAGUCCACUACCAGUACAACCUGGGGCAAAGUCCUGCCAUCGCGCUAUCGGCCUUCGGCAGCGCCGCCCCGGGCACUGUGGAUGUGCCUGCCUCCGUGUUCGGCACCAGCAUUGACAACGUCGUGCUCGCCAAGUCGUUCAAGACUGACUUUUGGACGGUGCAGAAGCUCAAGGCAGCACUCACUCCACCGCCCAAGAAGUGAUACAUAUGUGCUCUUGUCGUUCUUCUUCUUCUCCACUGUAUCGCCACCGCCGCGAACUAAUAAGACCACCAAGCUAGCGCAUGAUAGUGGUGUAAUCCCGAUGGUAUUGUGAGGUUGAGUUGUGAUUGUUGUGACUUGUAAUAAUAUGCUUCUUGUGUUUUGUGAGUUGAUAUUGUGAUCAUGUCAAAUUUUAUUUAAUUUUGGUGUUAAGAAUGUGCCAUCAAAUAUGCUUGUGUCGGUUAUGCAAUUCCGUGUGUUUUUUCCUUGCAUUUUUACAAGUAAACUCUAUCCAUCUUAUUUUCAAGGUGAUGUACUAUUGUUAUUAUACUCCCUAUGUUUCUUUUUAGUCUGCAUAUAAGGUUUGGUCAAAGUCAAGCUUUGUAAAGUUUGCCUAACUUUAUAUUAAAAAAAUAUUAAUAUUCAUAAUAUGAAAUCAAUAUUAUUAGAUGCAACAUGAAAUGUAUUUUCAUACCACAUAGUUUUAGUAUUGUAGAUGUUCAUAUUUUUUGAUAUAAAUAUGGUCAAAUUUUAUGUAGUUUGACUUUGACCAAAUUCUAUACACAGAGUAAAAAAAAUGGAGGGAGUACAUUUGAGUAGUGUUCUGGUUCCAUUUAGUUAUUAUUUCAGCCUCACUCCCCCGAGAUGGCCUAACUCCACCGUGUGACAAACUGGUGCUGCUCUAGACGCUCAACCCUCUCGUGUUUUGAAGUAUUUUCUGCUCAAGCAGUUUUAACAUGGUUCCUCUUGCCUCCUCUUAACACAAGAGAGGUAAGAGUAUAUAAUAAAUCUAAGCCGUUCAUUUCAUGAAGUAGUGGGUCUGAGUACCUCUUAUCUUCUUAACUCCCAUGUGAAAAGGGGAGGUAAGAAGGACCAUGUUAAAAUUUGUCUUUUCGGCUCUCUGGACUAACCUGCCGAAGGUGUUUUGGAGUUUGCUGUGUGUGUGUGUGUGUGUGUGUGUGUGUGUGUGUGUGUGUGUGAGAGAGAGAGAGAGAGAGAGAGAGAGAGAGAGAGAGAGAGGUACAAGUCUCUUAAUAUAGUCGUUUUCAAGAUUAUUGGAUUCAUGUAAAUAAAAAGUGAUGCUAAGAUUAUGAUUUUAGGUUUAUGAGCAACACCGAGAAAUAACUUUUUCUAAGUAUAUUGAACCGAAGUCACCUGCUUAAUAUUGUUUCGCUUUUUCUUUUGAGCUGGUCAACCGUUUCCUAGCUUAGGGCACAAUGUUUUGUUGUUUGUUAGACAACAAAGAAAUAAUUACUCAUGCCAUCGAAGAAAAGCCCGCUCGCAAAAAUGAGUACCAAGAAAAUAACUACAAUGUUCCCCACAAAAUAAGAAAAAUGUGAAAUGAAUUAUGCACAAGUCCGUACAAUAGAUCAAAUAUCUCUCACCAUCAAUAGUAGGCACGCUAGAUACAUUUUAUAGAUUAUCAGGGCACUCUUUGUUAGGUAAUCUUGUCUAAUCCGGUUAAUUAGUGUAAGCAAAGUUGAUUAGUACUCCCUUCUAUCAUAAAUAUAAGAUGUUUUGGAUAUUUCAAUAUGGAUUACAUAUGGACAGGAAUAGGUGAACAAAUACACUAAAAUGUGUCUAUAUACAUCCGAAUCAAAAAAGUUAAAACAUAGGAGGGAGUAAUUAAGUAGAGAAGACGUACUAGUUGGUCUAGUUUGUGUCGUGUCUGGGCUUACAAUGCUAGCCCGGUUAGAGCUAGCUUGUGCUUUGCCUGUAUGGUACUAGGAGUGGCGUUUGAGUAGCUAGUAUCCGACAACAUUCUUUUCAUUGGGGCUUACUUGCGUUUUAAUUGAGGUCGCCCAAAGUUCACACAUUAAUUCGCUACAAUGGACCAAUAGAGUGCACGAUGCGUCAAACGAACAGACCUCGACUUGGCCGGGGAUUUCUAUCUCCUUUUCGAAAAGGAAAAGAUCUAACUUAUUUUUAUGCGGGUGGAAAAAAAAUCCUUAACUCAUCGGCACGGCGGAUAGUUUAGUUAGGUUGUUCCAACGAACGCGCGCCCAGUAUCUGGGAUGCUUUGGUGACAGAGUUUUCUUUUGUGUGUGUGCGUGGACACGCUGUUCUUGUCACAGUUAAUUGUUAAUACUUAAUAAUGCAGUAUUAAAACAAACAUACAGUUGUAUGCUAUUUGCUCAACAGUUCAGACAGCUCAGAUUGGUGAAGUUUUUUUCUUUUCCGGAAAGACGGAUUGGUGAAGUUGAGAGUGAGAGACACAAACACCCAAGUUUUUUUUGUUAGAAUGAUAACAAAAUUUUGAAAGUUUCAUGUAGGUAUAUCCAUAUGCUUGGAGACACCAAAGAGCUGCAUAACAUAGGCCAGUUAAAUCUUCCUUCGAUGUGUGUGCUAGCUAGCUGGUUACAGCUUGCAAUUCUAGAACGCUCAUACAUCACCCUUGGUGUCAUAGACUCUUCAUCACAUCAAUAGGUUGCCCCUUCUGUGUAAAUAACACAGCAAGCAGCCCAACAUCUUUCACCACAGCCUCCAUCAAUAAAUCUGUUAUCACAGCUAAGUUAUUAGCUUGCAGAUACAUUCAAUUUCAAUGGCUUCCACAAACUGCUACACCUUGGUGUUUGUGGUGGUUGCAUUGGUCUUAGCGGGCGCCGUUGCUGGUGACCCCGACAUCGUCACCGACUUUGUCGUCCCAAAAAAUAUUUACGGGAUAGCACCGAUAAACAUCACCGGCGACUUCUUCACUUACACCGGCUUCUGUGCUGCCAUGAACAUGACCAUGCCGAUGCUGAUGCCGGGGGCGCAAAACUUCACUGUGACCAAGGCCACCAUGAUGUAGUUCCCAGCCCUUAACGGGCAAAGUGUGUCCUAUGCCUUGCUCAAGUUCCCCUCAGAAUCCAUCGACCCUCCACACACGCACACGCGUGCCGCUAAGUUGUUGCUUGUCCUCGACGGUGCGCUCUCUAUGGGAUUUAUGCAUGCAUCUGGCAAGCUCUACACGCAGGACCCUGGCCGCCGGUGACAUGUUUGUGUUCCCCAAGGGUCUGGUGCACUAGCAGUCCAACCCGAGGGAAAGCCCCACCGGCGCACUCUCGGCCUUUGGCACUGCCGCCGCAGGCACCGUGUCUGUUCCCAUUACCGUGUUCGGCACAUGCAUUGACAAUGAGGUGCUCGCCAAGUCGUUCAAGACUGACAUGCCUACCAUGCAAAAGCUCAAGUCGGCACUCACUCUACCACCGAAGAAAUGAUUCGUCAGUGUAUUGCUGCCACCAUGAAUAAUAAGCCCUCGAGCCAGCGAGUGAUGGUGAAGUAAAGCUGGUGGUCAUGUGAGUUUUAAGUUGUGUAAUGAUAUGCUUGAUGUGACUUGUGAGUUGUUUGUCGUGAUCAUGCCAAAUAUUAUAUGAUUUGGGUGUUAAGACUAUGACAUCAAAUGUACUUGUGUCUAUUAUGCAAGUCUCCUUGUUUCAUGCUUUGCACAUUUACAUGUAAACUUUGGGGAGCAUAUUUGGGGCACGCAAGCGCGGGAGCACCGAGUCCCUCCACGUGUGCAAAUUAAAUUAUGUUUUCAUAUGCGUGUUACUCGUGAUGAGUGUUUUCAAAUAAGAUUCUUUUUGAAUACGUUUUGACGAAUUUUGAAAAUAAAUGUUAAGUUUCAACUCUUCAAACUUAUUAUGAGCGACCCAUAAAAUCAUGAUUUUUGUGCGUACAAAUGACAAAAAAAUGAUUUCAAACUUUACCCAUGAAACAUGGUAAGAGCAAGCGACAAAAUUGCAAGUUUCAGAUAAAAAGUCAUAAGUUUCAAUGACUGAAACUUAAAACUUACUAUGCCAUUGUUCAGAUUCAACUACUUUGCGAAUUGCGAGACGAUCGAGCGGCCGGGAAGGGCUUGAUAGGUGUGUACCUCUGCGAAUUUCCGUAAACUCCGUCAUGUUACUUUCACUGUGAUGUACUAUAUUAUUUCUUAUUGUACAAUCGACCAUUGUUGUGCUUCCGUUUCAUGGAUAUUCCGGCGAUCACUCCCCCAAGAUGACCUAACUCCACUGUGCCAUAUGCCGGUGCGGCUAUUGACACGCCACCAUCUCGUGCUUUGGAGUUUAUUGCUCGCUGAAAUAACCUGCACGGGGUGUUUGGAGUUUUGUGUGUGUGUUGGCCUGCAUGUGUGUAUUGUAUGAGCUUCGAGAGCAGCAUUUAAAUUGGGCCCGGGAGUGAACAAAAAAAACUAAAUACUAAAUAAAUUCAAAAACUUCUGAUUUUUUAUGGAGAAAGAUGCCAGAGUGCGUGAUAUCCUUAAAAAAUUUGAGAGCAUUUGGAUGCCUGAGUGGCUCUCAGCGAAAAAGACAAAUUUGGGGCCUAUGAAAGUUUCUACUAUUUGUGCACGGACCCUAUUUUGACUCUUUUUUGCUGAGAACUACUCAGAUGUCUAAAUGCGUUGAAAUUUGCACGCAACUCACACACUCAAACAUCUUCCGUGCAAAAGAAAAAACAGAUCUUUUUAAAAAUAUUUCUAGUAUUUGUUUUAGAAUUUACUGUUCACCAGGUGCAGAUGAGCCCAUGCUCGGAAUUGAAUAUUCGAUGAGGUUCUGUAAAUUUUGUUUGAUGACUGAAUGGGGCAGCUUGUUAUGACCAAAAUUGUUUCGCUUUUUUUGCUAUGUCCAUGGAGCGACCAGCCUCAUUUAUUUAAUAUGUUUGCAGUUAAAAACCAAUCCAUGACUUUUAAUAAGGACUAAAGCUUUCGGUAGUUUCCAUUCUGGUUCUACCUGUUUUGCAUCCGCUUUGACAGCUCCACUCCUCGAUCUGAUUUAGACACACCCACGUUCUAUGGAUGUUGAUAUUUUUUCUUUAAACUUGGUCAAACAGACACGCUUGACUUUUGGAACAUUAUUUUAUCCCUUUUUUUCCUUUUUGUAACAUGAUUUUCGUUUAUAUAAGUAAUAGUGGGUGCCCUCUACUGCAAGAGUUUAACAACCUUUAUAAAUACAUAUUGAGUUGUGUCUGAAAUAAAUAAAGAAAGAAAAUUGAUGGUCCUGAUCCUUUGGAAUGGUCAAAUUUGUGUUUUAUAGCACUACAUAAUAUUAAAUAUUUGUAGGAAAACAGCACUACAUAGAGUUUGGGUAAGUACAUUUAUCUAUUCACGAGAUAUGUACAAAAUGUUUGCAGAAUAAUAUAAAAUAUUCCUUGCAUCCUUGAAAGGUCGUGUAACCUUGUUGUUCGCAUGACUUGAAAAAAAAGUAGGUUUGAGAUCACCAUAUUAAAGUGUUUUAUGAAAGCAUGUAUAAUAAUACUCAUCAAUUUAGAUCCGCGUAAUUUCGUUUGUAGGUCAUGGUAUAAAAUUACACCUCUAACCUCACCAACGGAAGGUUGUGAUUUAAACUUGAUCACGUAAUAACAGAAUAAGCUGGCCCGUGUUGUUGUAACUUUGUUAAGUUAUGUUGUUCUGACUUGUGAACGUGAUAAUAUGCUUGUUGUGACUUAUGAUUGUGCUCAUCUCAAAUUUUGUUUGACACAAAAACAAUGUUUUGUUGCUCGUCGAACAAUUGAGAAAUAAUAGGGUUAUGUGCCAUCAAAGAAAAGCGCACUCGCAUAAGCAUAGCAAAAAAGAAAAGAAAAGAAAAGACAUAUAAAUUAUGAGUCCAUACACUCUAUUCAUGGCGUUGAAUGAACUGCUUAUAUGUUUGCAGUCCAUCUAGUUUUCGCAUGAACACGACGAAUUUAGAUGAAACUUGCAUCAAAAUAGAAAGUUCACGUGAAGUCUUACUAUUCAACACUGCCCAUUGUGUGUGUGUGUGUGUGUGUGUGUGUGUGUGUGUGUGUGUGUGUGUGUGUGUGUGUGGAUAAUAUAUCCAGGAUUAACUAUUUAUCAGCUGCAUUGAGCAAUAAAUAUUUGUAAUGGUAUUAUGUACCGAAGUGUCAACUUCAACAAUCAUCUAAAUUGUCCAUGCACACACUUUGUAUACUGUAAACCAAGUGAAACAAAUUCAAAUACCUUUCACAUAUAUAAAAUUUCCCCCUUAGUAACCAUCACAAUUAUUUUGGUUCUUCGGCUAGUCGAAAUAGCUUAUUCGCCGAAGUACUUUUAAACUACGCUCCUCGCAACAAGAUAAGCCAUGGCUCUCAGUCACAUCUUCACAAGUCACAGCAACAAUGCCGCGGCGAAGCCAGCUAGCAGCGCGAAGCACGCCGGUGCGGGCGCCGCACCACCAUUCUUAGGCGCUGGCGGUGUAUCUGGAGAGGGAGCGGGAGCGGGAGCGAGCGGCGCCGGGUCCUGCUCGAGCGCGUCUACGGUGCCCUGGUCGACGUGAAGCGACUUCUCGAGGACGGCGUCGGGGAUGCCGGACUCAAAGAGGACAGUCGGGAGUGAGAUGGUGCCGGGGCUGGCGCUGCCGAAGGCCGAGAAGGCACGCACCACGUGGUCGCCACCGUUGAACUGGAAGUGCACCAUGCCCUUGGGGAACACGAACAUGUCACCCGUAUGCAGCGUCUGCGCGUACAGCUCACCUUUCGUCUCGUCGAUGAGGCCCACCAGCAGCGGGCCCUGCACCACGUAAAGCAGCUCGGACGCCCUGCCGGCCACCAUUGAAAUCAUGGAAGAAGAAGCAAAUGCAUGACAUGAGCACAAACCUGUAUAUACUGAGGAUGAAUCAUGAUCAACUAAAAAAAGUGUAAAGUUUUGUUACCUUGGGUGGACGUGAGGCGGGUUGACGGUGCCUGGGCCAAAGAUGAGGGCAGCAUAGGAGACGGACUGGCCGAGCAGCGCCGGGAACUCGGUGGCGGUGGCCUUUGUCACCGUGAACUUGGCUGGGUUGGCGGAGUUGCCAGCGAAGAGGCCCGUGUAGGUGAAGAACGUGCUGUUGAGGAGCGACGCAUUGGUGCCGGGCGGCAGGAUGAAGUCUGUGAGGAUGUCCGGGUCGCCGGCGAGGGCAAGGAAGGGCACAGCAAGGAGGACGGCGAGGGCAAGACAUGACGACACCAUUUUCAUGUAGUAGUAAGGUUGUGUGAACGGUGGAGGACUGGAGGUGGCCGGCCUGAGGCUGUGAUUAUUUGUAGGAGGCUGUAGGGGCCAAACAAAUUGGCUUGCCGUUGCUAUCGUUGUUUCCUAAGUUUGAUGCCCUUGUGACAGUUCAUGGUUGAGACAUGAUAAUAAUUCCAUUGCUAGUUCAUGGUUGUAGCCUGUAGGAGGCUGUAGCCUGUAGGGACACUGCUAGCUGGGACAAAUUGGCUUGCCAUUGCCAUCGUUGUUUCCUAAGUUUGACAGGUGAUGUACACGUUUGUGCUCAUGUCAUAUAUGUGCUACAUUACAUACUUGCAGGGUAUUUGGUGGGCAGAUCAUAUUUGUCAAGUUGAGCCUGCAAAGUUUGUAUCAGAAUGAGAACAAAAAGAUUCUGAGUCGCAUGCUGGUAUAUCCAUAUAUAUGCUUGGAGACACCAAGAGCUGCAUGGAAUUGGCCAGUUAAUUCUUCCUCAGAUGUGUGUCAAAUAGCACUAGCUGGCUCCAGCUUGCUGCUGUACAAUGUUCAUGCAUGGCCCUCGGUUUCUCAGACUCUUCAUCACCUCACUAGCUAGAUUUCCUCUUGUGUAUAAAUUACACAACAGGUAGCUCAACAUCUUCACCACAACUCACAACUACCGCGUUCACCAAUCAGCCUCUUUGUCACCACAAGAUCAUUAGCUUACUUGCAGCUACACUCAACUUCAAUGGCGUCCAUCAACUCCUACUCCUUGGUGCUGGUGGUGGUUGCAUUGGUCACGGCACCACAUGCCAUGGUGGCCGGCGACCCGGACAUCCUCACCGACUUUGUCGUCCCUGACAACUUCUAUGGGAUAGCACCGAUGAACAUCACCGGCGACUUCUUCACCUACACCGGCUUCCGCGCCACCAUGAACAUGACCAUGCCCAUGCCGAUGCCAGGGGCACAGAACUUCACUGUGACCAAGGCCAGCAUGACGGAGUUCCCGGCACUCAACGGGCAGAGCGUGUCCUACGCCAUGCUCAAGUUCCCCUCCGAAUCCAUCAACCCACCCCAUACCCACCCUCGUGCAGCAGAGCUACUGCUCGUCCUUCACGGUGCGCUCUCCGUUGGCUUCGUCGACACGGCUGGCAAGCUCUACACUCAGGACCUAGCCGUCGGCGACAUGUUCAUAUUCCCCAAGGGUCUGGUGCACUAUCAGUCCAACCCAGGUCAAAGCCCCGCAGUUGCACUCUCGGCCUUCGGUAGCGCCGCCGCGGGCACCGUGUCUGUUCCUGUUACCGUGUUUGGUACUGGUGUUGACGAUGCGGUGCUCGCCAAGUCCUUCAAGACUGACCUGCCCACCGUGCAAAAGCUCAAGGCGGCACUUACUCCGCCACCGAAGAAAUGAUUCGCCGGUGUAUUGCUGCCACCGUGAAUAAUAAAGCCAUUGAGCUUGUGAAUGAUGGUGGAGUGAACCUUGAGUUGUGUAAUAAUAUGCGCAUGUUGUGACUUGUGAGUUGUUAUGGUGACUCAUGUCAAACUUCAUUUGAUUUGGGUGUUAAGAUUAUGCCAUCAAAUAUACUUGUGUCUGUUAUGCAACUCUGUUUAUUUUUAUUUCCAUGGUUACAAGUAAACUCUAUCAUGUUACUUUUCAAUGUUACAUACUAUGUUUUUUUUGCGGGAAAAUGUUACAUACUAUGUUAAUCAUUAUUGUACAAGUGAGUAGUGUUGUGCUUNNNNNNNNNNNNNNNNNNNNNNNNNNNNNNNNNNNNNNNNNNNNNNNNNNNNNNNNNNNNNNNNNNNNNNNNNNNNNNNNNNNNNNNNNNNNNNNNNNNNNNNNNNNNNNNNNNNNNNNNNNNNNNNNNNNNNNNNNNNNNNNNNNNNNNNNNNNNNNNNNNNNNNNNNNNNNNNNNNNNNNNNNNNNNNNNNNNNNNNNNNNNNNNNNNNNNNNNNNNNNNNNNNNNNNNNNNNNNNNNNNNNNNNNNNNNNNNNNNNNNNNNNNNNNNNNNNNNNNNNNNNNNNNNNNNNNNNNNNNUGUGUGUGUGUGUGUGUGUGUGUGUGUGUGUGUGUGUGUGUUGACAAGCAAGCCACAACUUCUAUUAAGGACUAGUAUGAAGGUUUUCAGUAGUGUCCAUUCCGGUUCUACAUGUUCUGCCUCCGCUUUGACCACUCCUCGAGCUGAUUUAGACGCACUCACAUUCUAGGAGCAGGCUUCAUCUUAUCCAAACAUACACUUAAUUCAAGCUCAUUUCAUGAGAAAUUUUCUCAUGUGCAUAAUAAUAUAGCGAUGGAUGCACAUUCUUCUAUACAAAUCACACUUAUUAUUACAGGUCACAACAUAAGACAAGUGUCCCUCUCUAUCUUCCAUACACCAUUUUGGGGAGAAUCCUAUCAUUCUAAAUAACACUAUGGAACUCAGUAGAUGGCCGCUCGAAAUGAAAUGGUUCUGUGCUGUUUUAACUAUCUAUCGCCACAGAAACAUCCAAAUAUAAAUGUAACUAAAGAUUAGCUACAAUCUUGGUAUGGACAGAACUAAGAACAAAUUUCAAUGUCAGAUGAGUCUUGCAUUCACUACACCACAACAUAUCGUAGCUAAAAACUGCUGAAUCGCCCCUCUGGCUAGUUUCUCUCCCUUAGCUCUAAUCGCCAAGUUCAUCGCCACAAUUUGACAGCAAAGUUCACUUAAUUAGUUCACUGCUAUAAAUUUGACAUGCCAAAAUUUCAUCAUGCACAUAAUUGUACACUUUUGUGAAGUCUGAAUUGUUUAAAACAUGUAUCAUAUGCCAAACUGAAACUGUGUAUCAUACAACAUCGGUGCCUUCAAAAUGGUAUACAAACUCACCAGGCACAACCCAAUACAAAAUCGCGAACAUAUAUGUAACUCAAAGAGUCAAGAUCACAAGUUCCAAACAUCAACACACACACAAACCAUUCGAUCCAAAUCAAGAUGACAUUGCAAACACACAUAUUCAACAUCAUUUCACCACCAAAUUGCUCCUACCAUGUGGAUGCAGUACUUGGUUGUCUGCAUUGCUUGGCAGGUCAGUUAUUUCAAGAAGCAAAAAGAAAAAUUCAAAACACACACAAGGACAGUUGGCACAUCAGUCUUGAACGGACGGACUUAUUUCUUGGGUGGCGGAGUGAGCGCCUCCUUGAGCUUCUGCACAGUGGGCACGUCAGUCUUGAAUGACUUGGCGAGCACAAAAUCGUCCACUCCGGUGCCGAACACGGUGACGGGCACGGACACGGUCCCCGCGGCGGCGCUGCCGAACGCGGAGAGUGCCAUCGCGGGCCGAGACCCCUGGUUGGACUGGUAGUGCACCAUGCCCUUGGGGAACACAAACAUGUCACCAGCGACAAGGUCCUUGGUGUAGAGCUUGCCAGCGGUGUCAACAAAGCCAACAGAGAGCGUGCCCUCGAGGAGGAGGAGCAGCUCGGCAGCUCGGGGGUGGGUGUGCGUCGGGUUCACGGUGCUCGGCGGGAACCUGAGCUUGGCGUACGAAACGCUCUGCCCGUUGAGAGCAGGGAAUUCUGCCAUGGAGGCCUUGGACACCGUGAAUUCUGCCAUGGAGGCAGUGGCACGGGGCGGAAGCCGGUGUAGGUGAAGUAGUCGCCGGUGAUGUUGAUGGGAAUGCCGAUCAGCGUUGUGGGCACGACGAAAUCAGUGAGGAUGUCAGGGUCACCGGCCACGGCAGCCAGCGGGGCUGACACCAGCGCAAUGGCCACCAGCACCAUGGAGUAGAAGUUCAUGGACGCCAUUAGAGCAGAGCUUGAAGCUUUUGCUAGGUGAAUGCCUGUAGCCGUGCUGAUGGAGGAUAUGAUUGAUAAGCUGCUAUUUAUAGGCAGCCAGGUUUCCAUUUCUUGGAAAGGAAUUGGAGGAACCGAGGAGUUGAUGUCUUGUUCUUCUGUCCCUUGUGAGUGACGAACACAAGGUGAGUAACCAUUUUCUGGCUAAGAUUAAGACCAGGAGAGCGUGUGGUUUCUCAACUCCCGGGUGUCCCUACACCAGUGAUGUUUCUGCUCCUCGGGUGCAUCAAAACUGCAAGGAAUUCACUGGUUUUUUGGUGAAGUUAGCAUCAUGAACAGAUGGUUGUGGAUUGGGGAUUGAAGAGGGGAACGAAUCGUGAGCUAGGCCUAGGGGAACAAAUAGGAGUACUAAUAAGACUUAGGACCAAAUUCCAUUUUGAACAACAACGAUCAACCUAUCAGCCUUGCAUACGGAAUAAACAUUACAAACGAAAAUGCAAUACCUAGCUUCUAGGAAAACGCCUGGGUGCAUUCCUGUUACAAAAAUACAUUCACUCAAAGGACGUGAGCAAGACCAAAUUUCUUAUCUUAAUAGUGUCAUUCUUGCUUCUUAACAAUGUGAAUUAGGAGUAAAACUUUGUGAAUGGAUGAACAAUGGAAAGUUACAACAGCAUACAUAGAUACUCCAUGGUUCAGAACAUUACCAUGAUGUUCAUAGCAUCAUAAUAAGCACCAACUAAUGACAUCCAGUUGCUAUCCAAAAUCACAUGUUCUAUCGGUAGUACUGAUAUAACAAUAAAUGAGAAGAGUACGAAUGAAAUACAUGAUGUGAAUCCAAGGGGAAAACAAACGAGUAGUCUUCGACAUUACACAAGCCCUGCUGAGAAUGGAGACUCCUUGUCUUCUUCUUGCAUCUCACGGAACAUAAUUGGUGUAAUGUUAUCUUUGAGGCGGUGUUGAGUGAGCAACAUGCGAUAUUGACUCUUUCCUAUGUUCACCAUCCCUAAGAACUUGCCAUCAAUGUCGAGAUGCAGCACAUAUUUUGAAUUAAACCUGAUCAGCAGCUCACGCUCGUUGAGGACAACCAUAUCAUUGAACCAUUGCACUGUUGAAUGAAGUGGUGUUUUCAUUUUCUUUUUGAAAGAAGUUAAAUAAAGUUGUCGUGAUGCCUCCACCGUUGACACAUCAUCUGAUACUUGAAAGACCAUAUUUUGGCGUCAUAAUCCAGCAUCACCCAAACAUCCAUAGCAGUGAAACGAGGAGUCGAGCUGCCCCAAAAAGCAAGUGUUUCCUUCAUUUUGAAUAACCUCCUAUUAGAGUACGGCUGGGCAGGACCACGCAUCCACCGGAAUGACUCAACUUUUGUGUCAAACACAAUAAUGUCUCUCCUGUCUCCCGUAAUUUCAUUGGUGGAAUAAGGACACCAAUGCAGGCUGCCAUGGUGGUCUAUUGGUGGUGGACAAUGAGGCAAAUAACGCAACCCAUUCAGUAGCAUAUGUUCCACGGAAGCAUGUCCCACACAACGUCUUGAUGUAGUUGGUAUUCUGACUAUGAUGUGCCUCGGCUCAGUGGAUCCCACUGUGAGGACAUAUAAGCUGAAUAUAUGUGACCGUGAGACCCAGAGCACCCUGUAUUCUCCAGUAGGAUGGUGCCGGUAGAAACCGAUUACGUUGUUGUCGGCUUUCCCAAGUUGAGGCUGUGGUAGGACAGCAUGCAUGCGGAUGAGCGGGUUGCAAAUGUAGAAUUGAGAUCUCCGGUAGAUGAUGAGGAAGCCAUCACAAGCGGCUUGGAUGCUAUUCUCUAAAUGUUGUUUGGCACCCGGAAGAUAUGGCUAGAUUUCUUGACUGGAAGCUUUGGCACUCACAUCAUGGAAGACGAUGAAAGUGGCUGGCCACCCCUGCCCAUUGAUUAUGGGGAGUGAUCGCUGCGAGUGGUGGUGUUCAAGCAUAAAUUCACUCAUGGAGGUGGCAUCACGCCAGGACGUUCUGACGGCACGACAACGACCAACGUCCUUGGGUGUUAGCCGGACGAGUAACUUGUCGAUGAGCUCCCCAGGCAAAUCCUCAAGGAGUGUUGCCCCUCUUCUGUCCGGCAUGGUGCUCCAUUGAGUCAAGGGUCAACUAAACAAAGCAAAAAAAAAGAUUUACUGAAUGUCUUGGGUGACUAACUUAAAUAAAGAACACAAGUAAGAAAAACUAGUUAUGGAAGAUGAAACUGGUUUACCUUAGAAGAUGAACAUGAAGAGUAGGCGAGGUUCCAGCGAUGACGACGAACAGGGUCCGCAACAUGGGUGUGUUUUGUCGUGUCUAGCCAUCCAUAAAUGAAUAUUCAGCGUCAAUAGCAGAUGUAGAGAAAAAUUAAGAAACACACACACACACACACACACACACACACACACACACACACACACACACACACACACCCAUGUUGAAACAUUACUAACACCAACUAACAUAAACAUCAAAGUUGUGAACGGUUGAAAACAAAUGUCAUAUGCCAAACUGAAACUAUGUACCAUACAGAGUUGGUGCCCUCAAAAUGGAACACAAAAGUCACCAGACACAGUGAGGUUCAACCAAAUACAAAACUGCACACAUAUGUGAGAGAAUCUCUAGCGGAUCCGCUGAAAUCUCAUACUGCAAAAUUGUUUUAGGGUUCCCCCGAAAACUUAUUUGUGGUACCGUGCAUGCUCCGGUGGAACAUAUCCUGUAAAUCAGUACUGCAUAUUUAAAAACAUCUUCGUGCUAGAAAAUAGUUCAUCACACAAACAUAGUGCAUACAUAGGAAAUACAAACUUCGGGCUACGAAUUAAUAGCUAAAUCGACCGUCACUCGUCGAUGUCGAGGUAGAACUUGACUGCGAACUUGCGGAAUGCGUGGGCGAGGGCGUGCUCCUCCUUGGCGGCAGCGAGACGGUCGGCGACACUUCUUCUCCGGCCGCAUAUGUGCGCUCCACGGUGAUAAGCUCCGCAUCGGCCUCCCGGCACCUCUUGAAGUGUCGAUAGAGGUUGGCGUCGAGCUUGUGGAAGCUGGCCCAAGGGCUCCGCCCGCCGCUGUCACGAGCUUGCUUCUAGCGAUAUGGCUCCAUGGUGCCACUGGAGCUGCCGGCCUCCGUGUCGUGGCGUUCCUUCUUGUGCGGAGACGACCCGCCACGGAUUGUCGCCCAUCCGCCAGCCAUCAAGGGAAAAAGAAGAGGCAACGAGGGUUGAAUUUCUCGCCGAAGUAUGUGAGAGCUAGCGGCGGAGGGGAUCCGGAAGUCUAACCCUAAAAGCCCCCCCCCCUCCCGGUGUCGUGUAUAUAGCGGUUGCGGGGUGGAAUAUCCAGGUCACCCUAAAAAUAUUUACGGGCCGACUGAUACGCGGAAUCUCUUCGGGGCAAAAAAUGCCCAAACCCACAUAUGCGGUGCUUUUUGUGGAGAGGUGCUCUAAGUAAAGAGUCAAGAUCAUGAGCUCCAAAGAUCAACACAUAAACGUUUGAUUCAAAUCAAGACCACAUUGCAAACAUACACUAUAAUUCAAGCUCAUUUCACUAGCAAUUUUCUCCUGCAUGUGCAUUAUAACAUAGCGAUGACAUUCUUCUAUACAAAUUAAAACUUAUUAGUUCCUCCGUUCACAAAUAUAAGAUGUUUUAGAUAUUUUAAUAUGGACUACAUACAGGCUGAAAUAAAUGAACAAACACAUAAAAACAUGCCUAUAUACAUUCGAUUCUGAAAAACUUAGGGCAUCUUACAUUUCGUAUCAUAUGAAUUAAGCUCUUAUAGACGAGGGUCCCUCUUUGCUUUCUGUACACCAUUUCGGGGAGAAUACUUUCAUUCCGAAUGACCCUAUGCAGACUCUGUAGAUGGCCUCUCCAAAUAAAAUGGUUCCAUCUUGUUUUAACACUCUGACACAAAUGAAACAUCCAAAUAUAAAUGUAACUAAAGAUUAGCUAAGAACAAAUUUCAGUGUCAGAUAGUCCUGCAUUCACUACGCCACAACAUAUCGUAAAAGCUGUUGAAUCCCCAUUCUGGCUAGUCCCUAUCCCUUAGUUCUAGAAAACAAAGCUCUAAUCACCAAGUUCACCGCCGCGCUUUGACGGCAAAGUUCACUGCUUCAAAUUUGGCAUGCCAAAAUUUCGUCAUGCACAUAAUUGUACACUUUUGUUAAGUCUGAACUGUUUAAAACAGGUGCAUAUGCCAAGCUGAAACUGUGUAUCAGACAGCCUCGGUACCUUCUUUUUUUUCUUUUUUUUUUUGAGCGUGAACGGCAGAUGCUCUGCCUUUGCAUUAUAGAAAAGGGAAAGUGGUCUAGUUAAUAGGGAAACCAGACCCGAAAACCAUACAACACGCGGUUAAUAUGGGAAACCGGCAAAAACCACAUCCAACAAUUCAUGGCACAUCACCUGUGCCGGAAACAAGCACCCCCAGACCUAGGAACGGAGGCCAUGCCUUGUGUCCAACAAAGACGAACUCCGUAAACACCCACAAACUCUCUACAAUGGCAGCACACCGAAGUGCACCCUCCCAACAGAAGUGGUCAAGCAUUGGCCUGAACUAAUGCGUGCACUGCCUCAAUCGCCUUGGGCGUGUGUUCCUUCUUGUACAUCUGCAGAUAGUGUUGCAUCUUCUCAUUCAGGUCUUCUUUAGAUGCUUUUCCUUUGUUCUUGAGUGUUGGAACCUCUCCAAAGGCCUCCGCCCGCCUAUACUCCGCGUGCUUGGCUACAGGAAUGUCGCAAUCUUUGUUUUUCUUGUCCAAACGGCAGCUUCGUCGCUGUAAGAGAGAAGGAGCAGCCUCUCCCACCUGCAAAACUUGCGGCGAGCUCGACACAGUGAGAGCAAGCUCUUCGAGGAACUCCCCCCACGGAGAGGAGGCUCUCCCAAGAGGCUCAUCUGCAUCCAUCCGGAUCAGCUCCUUUGAAGGCUUGCUGGUGCAAGGAGCACUAGAAACCUUCGGCUCCUCCAGUGUCGACUGCUCAACAGGCUCCACCUCAGACAUAACCAUGUCAAAACAAAAAGACACCUUGGCCCGCUCCUCCACGCCUUGACUCACCAUCCCGAGUAGGACAGAAGCCAAGUCAGGAGGAUCAUCCUCGAGCAUGACCUUCUCCAAGGCAGGCGGAUCAUUAACGGACUGAGCCUUCUCACUCCACUCAGCUGAGCAGCCAGCCACAACAAGCGCACUACAAUCCUCACCAACGGCCACAGCAGGAGGAGCAGAUUCAACAUUGGCAAGGUCUUGGCUGCCCCCGAUAGCUUCCAUAGGUUCCCAUAGGCUUGAGACUUGAGCAGUCCAACUCUCCACAGCAGCAACCAAGUCUUGAAGAGGCUUGAACAGCACCUCAAGACGAGCAGCGAACAAGGCCUGUAGCUCAGCGCCGAGCGCCUCCGCCUGAGCUGCAAGGAGAGGCCGCAAGGGCUCCAAAACAGUAGGAGGCACGCCGGGGUCAGCCGCCGGCACGACACCAUCAGUCGCAAGGUUGUCUUGGUGAGAAACCACCGAAGCCCAAGUGCGACCAGGUCGAUGAAGUGGGGCUGGAGGCGAUCCGCUGCAGGGGGGAGGCCGCUGACGAGGCCCGGUAGGCGCGAGGGGGGGCGACGAGGUUUUGAACCGGCAGGAUGCCGUGCCAAGCACUCCCGCUCGCGAUGGCCGGAGUGGCCACAUCCCAAGCACCGGACAGGGCCGCGGCAGCCCGCGGCGAAGUGGUCCGACGCCAAGCACCGAAAGCAGAGGCCGAAAGUCCUCUGCUUGAAAGUGCGAGGCAGUCCAGCAUCCUUCUGUUGGAAUUUUGCUAGUAGGCCUUUGGGCCAAAGCCCAACUAAAAUUCUGAAAUUCUCUUGGCCCAUUCAUGCACACAUGUGAGUGGAGUGAGUGAGGCUAAAGUUUAGUCCCACAUUGGAAGUUGAGAGAGAGUUGCACCUCUUUAUAAGGUGAGCUCUUCUACCACUUGUAUGAGCAUGAGAAGAGGAGACCUACACGCGCGCUCCUCCUCCUCGCUCGCCUCGCCACGCCACGCCUCGCCUCGUCACGACGCGCCACGGGUUGCGGGAUUGAGUCGAGCCGAGGACAAAGCUAUGCACAUUGUCUAUAUUUUUGCUGCAUGGAAAAAUUAAUGAGUCAUUAAUUAAUAAUUAACGGAGGCGUUAAUUACUGAACCGUUUCCGAUUCUUUUGGAUCGUGAUGACUCGGACGUGGGGUUUACUCCCACGACCUACCCGGCCCGCAAUAUAUAGUCAGGCAGACGUCUACCCUAGCCGCCGCUUCGUAUGGUUUCUCAUCACCGUUCCAGAUCAUUGCGCCGCCAAGCUAGUCUUCUCCAUCCCUCCUUCCGGCGUGCACCGCGAGAAGGGACAGCAGGCCUUCGGAACCCCGCCUCUCGUGAUCCUGUACGGGAGAGGGGCGAUCAGGUUUUUGGGGAGCGCACUCGCGCGACUGCUGACAGCGACGACUUCGCGAACAACGACUUCUUCCCCGACCUCGGCAACCUCAUCCUCGACGACAUGUGCAACAACAUCAACGCCGGCGGUGCUGCACCCGCUGCACCGUAUGUGAUUCUAUCCUUCCUGUUCGAGAUCGUGGUAGAAUUCAUGUUUCUAGUAUGUGCCCUAGAUGUGAUAUGUUCAUCUGCUAUGCUAGUUCGCAUGAUUAGUUUAAUCUCUGCUGCUGUGGUCAUGAUUUAUAUUCUGUUUAUUCGGAUUAAAUCUCGUAGUAAUUUGCUCAUAUUUCCAACAAUCCAAAAACCUGAUUAUAGGCAAUUUACUCCGGGUGGUUUUGCUGCGCAUCUGAAACCGCCUGCCUUUAAGGGGGCGCAAUAUAAGAGGUGGCGCACGAGAGCAGUCUACUGGUUUCAGACCAUGGGCUGCUAUGAUGCCACCAAGGGCAAGCCUGAGGGCGAUCUUAAUCCAGCACAGCUGGAAGCUUUUGAGAAGAUCGAUACCCUCUUUAAAGGCGCUCUUCUGAGUGUUCUUGAUGACUCCAUUGUGGAUUCGUAUAUGUCGUUUGACAACGGCAAGGACAUGUGGGCUGCGCUCGAGGCCAAGUUUGGUGCCUCGGACGCUGGCAUCGAGUUGUACGUCAUGGAGCAAUUCUAUGACUACAAGAUGACUGAUGAGCGCCCUGUUGUACGACAGGCUCAUGAGAUACAGUCGCUCGCAAAAGAACUUGAGUACUUCAAGUGUGUGUUACCGGACAAAUUUGUUGCCGGAGGCAUCAUUGCCAAGCUUCCACCUUCGUGGAACAAUUUUGCUACUUCCCUGAAACACAAGAGACAGGAGUUUUUCGUUGCGGAUCUCAUUGGUACUCUUGAUGUUGAAGAGAAGACGAGAGCAAAGGACACACGUGCUCGAGUUGCUGAGGGAGGUUCUAGUGCCCACAUGGUACAGAAGAAGAACUCCCAGCCCAACAAGUACAAAAACAAUAAGAACAAAACUCAGGGCAAAGGCAAGUUUGAUACAAAGAACAAGCCAUCACAUUCUACCAACUUCAAGAAGAAUUCUCAUAAGAAGGGGAAGGGAUUUUGCCAUGUCUGCGGUGAUCCUAAUCACUGGGCUCCAAAGUGUCCUAACCGCUUUGAGGAGCGCAAACAUGAGAAGAGCGGCAAGUCCGCUAAUGUUGUCAUCGGUGAUACUGAUAUGAAGGAAUCAGGGUACGGUAUUUUUCCUACCAUCCUUUCAGUAUUUCAAUCCCCUGAUUGGUUAAUUGACACCGGUGCCAAUGUACAUGUUUGUGCUGACGCCUCCAUGUUUUGUUCUUACCAGGCAACAGGGAAUUCACCCGUGCUGAUGAGAAACGGGUCACAUGCCAUCGUUCGAGGUGUUGCUACGGUCGAUCUGAAGUUUACUUCGGGGAAGACUGUGCGUCUGAAGAAUGUUCAUCAUGUGCCGUCCAUUAAUAAAAAUCUCGUUAGCGGUUCCCGUUUAUGUCAAGAUGGUUUUAAGUUGGUUUUCGAAUCCAAUAAAGUUGUAAUUUCUAAGUGUGGACAAUUUGUUGGAAUAGUCUAUGAGUGCGGAGGCUUGUUCCGCCUAUCUUUGUCAGAUAUUUGCACUAAAGUUAUUAAUAAUGUUUGCCACAAUAAUGAGUCUGAUAUUUGGCAUUCACGACUCUGUCAUAUUAACUUUGGUUGCAUGACGCGGUUAGCCAAUAUGAAUUUAAUUCCAAAAAUCUCUACUGUCAAAGGCUCCAAGUGCCAAGUAUGUGUGCAAGCUAAGCAACCUCGCAAGUCCCAUAAGACUGCAGAGGCAAGAGACUUGGCGCCACUAGAGCUUAUACAUUCUGAUCUUUGUGAGAUGAAUGGCGUGUUGACAAAAGGUGGAAAGAGAUACUUCAUGACGUUGAUUGAUGACUCCACUAGAUAUUGUUAUGUGUAUCUUCUGAAAUCAAAAGAUGAGGCUUUGACUUUCUUUAAAAACUAUAAAGCUGAAGCAGAGAACCAACUUGAUCGAAAAAUUAAACGGCUUAGGUCCGAUCGUGGUGGAGAGUAUUUUUCCAAUGAAUUCGAUCUGUUUUGUGCGGAACAUGGUAUAAUCCAUGAGAGGACGCCUCCCUACUCACCCCGGUCAAAUGGGGUAGCCGAAAGAAAGAACCGAACUCUAACUGAUAUGGUUAACUCCAUGUUAGACACUUCGGGUCUAUCCAAGGAAUGGUGGGGGGAGGCGCUAAUGACUGCGUGUCAUGUCCUAAACCGAGUUCCCACAAAGCAUAAGACCAUGACUCCAUUUGAGAAAUGGGAAAGGAAAAGGUUGAAACUCUCUUACCUACGUACUUGGGGUUGUUUGGCGAAAGUCAAUAUACCAAUUCCCAAGAAGCGCAAGCUUGGACCAAAAACCGUGGAUUGUGUUCUUUUGGGCUAUGCUUUUCAUAGCAUCGGCUAUAGAUUUUUGAUAAUAAAAUCCGAGGUAUCCGACAUGAAUGUUGGUACGAUUAUGGAAUCAAAUGAUGCAACUUUCUUUGAGGACAUAUUUCCUAUGAAGGAUAUGUCGAGUUCAUCAAAUCAGGAGAUACAUACUCCAUCUAGUGAGGAAUUCACUAUAAUUCCUGAACCCACCAUUGCGAUGGAACACGUUGAGAAUCCUGUUGAGGGUAACAAUGGAACUCCUAUGAGGAGUAAGAGACAGAGGACUACAAAGUCUUUUGGUGAUGAUUUCAUUGUGUACCUCGUGGAUGACACACCCAGGACUAUUUCAGAAGCCUAUGCAUCUCCUGAUGCUGACUACUGGAAGGAAGCUGUACGUAGCGAGAUGGAUUCCAUCUUAGCUAACGGUACCUGGGAGAUCACUGACCGUCCAUAUGGGUGCAAACCUGUAGGAUGUAAGUGGGUGUUCAAGAAGAAGCUUAGACCUGAUGGUACGAUUGAAAAGUAGCACGGCUUGUGGCCAAGGGUUAUACCCAGAAAGAAGGUGAAGACUUCUUUGAUACUUACUCACCCGUGGCUAGACUGACCACAAUUCGGGUGCUACUAUCACUGGCUGCCUCACAUGGUCUUCUCGUUCAUCAAAUGGAUGUUAAGACGGCUUUCCUUAAUGGAGAGUUGAAGGAGGAAAUUUACAUGGAUCAGCCAGAUGGUUUUGUAGUACCUGGUCAGGAAGGAAAGGUGUGCAAGUUAUUAAAGUCUUUAUAUGGCCUUAAACAAGCUCCUAAGGAGUGGCAUGAGAAGUUCGAAAGAACAUUAACUGCUGCCGGCUUUGUAGUAAACGAUGGUGAUAAGUGCGUGUACUAUCACUAUGGUGGGGGCGAAGGAGUUAUUCUUUGUCUGUAUGUCGAUGACAUAUUGAUCUUUGGAACCAAACUUGAUUUAAUCAAGGAGGUUAAGGAUUUCUUAUCUCGCUGUUUUGAGAUGAAGGAUCUAGGAGUAGCUGAUGUUAUCUUAAACAUCAAGCUGUUGAGAGAUGAGAAUGGUGGGAUCACACUGCUUCAGUCUCAUUAUGUGGAAAAGGUCUUGAGUCGUUUUGGGUAUAGCGACUGCAUGCCUUCUCCAACUCCAUAUGAUGCUAGUGUGUUGCUUCGAAAGAAUCGACGGAUUGCUAGAGAUCAACUGAGGUAUUCUCAGAUUAUUGGCUCGCUUAUGUAUUUGGCGAGUGCCACGAGGCCUGACAUCUCUUUUGCUGUGAGAAAGCUGAGUCGGUUUGUGUCAAAACUGGGAGCUGAUCAUUGGCAUGCGCUUGAGAGAGUUAUGCGCUAUUUGAAAGGCACCGCGAGCUAUGGGAUUCACUACACCGGGUAUCCAAGGGUACUGGAGGGUUAUAGUGACUCAAACUGGAUAUCUGAUGCUGAUGAGAUUAAGGCCACAAGUGGUUAUGUUUUUACACUUGGUGGUGGCGCUGUUUCCUGGAAGUGUUGCAAGCAGACCAUCUUAACGAGGUCAACUAUGGAAGCAGAACUCACAGCAUUAGACACUGCCACUGUUGAAGCAGAGUGGCUUCGUGAACUCUUGAUGGACUUACCUAUGGUUGAAAAACCAAUACCCCCUAUCUUGAUGAACUGUGAUAAUCAAACUGUGAUCGUCAAGACAAACAAUUCUAAGGACAAUAUGAAGUCCUCAAGGCAUGUGAAGAGGAGACUAAAAUCUGUCAGAAAAUUGAGGAACUCCGGAGUUAUUACGUUGGAUUAUAUCCAAACGUCGAAAAACUUGGCAGAUCCCUUCACAAAGGGUCUAUCAUGUAAUGUGAUAGAUAAUGCAUCGAUGGAGAUGGGUUUGAGACCCACCGCAUGAGUUUUCCAUAGUGGUAACCCACUCUAUGUGAUCGGAGAUCCCGUGAAGUAGAAGUGGGAGACAAGCUGUUGGUCAGCUGGGAGGAGAGUAUCCCUAUAUUAAUUAUCCCACUCCGUAAAGAUGCAAUACUCUCCUGAUCUGCAUGGCAGGUUGAUAAUUAUCUUAAUGUGUUCCAAGUGGCUUAUUCGGGUAAGCAGAGAUGUUGUCCUGCAGAAUAUCUUCUGAGGAACACACCUAUAUGAAUUUGACUAUCAACGUCGCAGUCUAUGAGAAUUGGGUGUUCUCUAAUAAAUUCAUGAAAGGCCCUGAAGUAUGACGUAUACGCUCCACCCGCGGGGAAGCCUUGCGACAGCCCAGUAUCGGUCAAGAAUUUGUGUGAAACUAGUUUCACAAAAAACUUGUAGUUCAAGGCAUAGUCCACUAUUCAAGUUGUGAUUUAGUGUAGCAUAAAUUUCUAAGUGGAAGUUCAACUUCAUAGUCUCCACUAAGCACCGAUAUAUAAAACAAUGUUUUGGAACUAAAUGAUGAGAUGUGCCAAUGAGACUUUGUGGGGGAUUGUUGGAAUUUUGCUAGUAGGCCUUUGGCCCAAAGCCCAACUAAAAUUCUGAAAUUCUCUUGCCUCAUUCAUGCACACAUGUGAGUGGAGUGAGUGAGGCUAAAGUUUAGUCCCACAUUGGAAGUUGAGAGAGAGUUGCACCUUUUUAUAAGGUGAGAUCUUCUACCACUUGUAUGAGCAUGAGAAGAGGAGACCUACACGCGCGCUCCUCCUCCUCGCUCGCCUCGCCACGACGCGCCGCGGGUUGCGGGAUUGAGCCGAGCCGAGGACAGAGCUAUGCACAUUGUCUAUAUUUUUGCUGCAUGGGAAAAUUAAUGAGCCAUUAAUUAAUAAUUAACGGACGCGUUAAUUACUGAACCGUUUCCGAUUCUUUUGGAUCGUGACGACUCGGACGUGGGGUUUACUCCCACGACCUACCCGGCCCGCAAUAUAUAGUCAGGCAGACGUCUACCCUAGCCGCCGCUUCGUAUGGUUUCUCAUCACCAUUCCUGAUCAUUGCGCCGCCAAGCUAGUCUUCUCCAUCCCUCCUUCCGGCGUGCACCGCGAGAAGGGACAGCAGGCCUCCGGAACCUCGCCUCUCGUGAUCCUAUACGGGAGAGGAGCGGUCAGGUUUUUGGGGAGCGCACUCGCGCGACUGCUGGCAGCGACGACUUCGCGAACGACGACUUCUUCCCCGACCUCGGCAACCUCAUCCUCGACGACAUGGGCGACAACAUCAACGCCGGCGGUGCUGCACCCGCUGCACCGUAUGUGAUUCUAUCCUUCUUGUUCGAGAUCGUGGUAGAAUUCAUGUUUCUAGUAUGUGCCCUAGAUGUGAUAUGUUCAUCUGCUAUGCUAGUUUGCAUGAUUAGUUUAAUCUCUGCUGCUGUGGUCAUGAUUUAUAUUCUGUUUAUUUUGAUUAAAUCUCGUAGUAAUUUUCUCAUAUUUCCAACACCUUCCUGGGAGGGGGAGCAGCCACCUUCUCCAGGCUCGGGCGGCGCCGUCUCCCAACCUCCACCCAAGCCGGGGCGGCCGGGGCCAGAGCGGCGGGCGCCGAGGUUGGAGCCGCAGGGGCCGGAGCGGCCAGGUCCGGGGCGGCCGGGGCCAAAGCGGCGGGCGCUGGGGCCGGAGCAGCAGGGGCCGGAGCGGCCGGCGCCGGGGCCGGAGCAGCAGGGGCGAAAAGAAAGACCGCCGGAGAGAGGCGCGGGUCGGGAUCCGGGUCAGGGCCUUCGUCCCCGGCCGGGCUGGGAGGGGGAAGGGGAGGGGCGGCGGCAGGGGAAGCGGCGGGGGCUAAGGGGGCCAUGGGCGAGGGCGGCGAAGGGGGCUGCGCGGUGGCGGCGGCGGCGGCCGCGAGCGGAGUCGCGGGAUACCUUCAAAAUGGUAUAUACCAACUCACCACACACAACCCAAUACAAAUCGCGAACAUAUACAACUCAAAGAGUCAAGAUCAUGAGUUCCAAAGAUCAACACACAAACCGUUUGAUUCAAAUCAAGACGACAUUGCAAACACACAUAACUCAACAUCAUUUCACCACCAAAUUCCUCGUACCAUGUGCAUGCAGUACAUGGUUGCCUGCAUAGCUCGGCAGGUAGGUUAUUUCAACAAGCAAAACAAAUUCAAAAACACAACACGGCGGACAAAGUGCCAAGAACAAGACCAAACAUACGGCACGACACACGGACGGGCUUAUUUCUUGGGCGGGGUGAGCGCCGCCUUGAGCUUCUGGAUGGUGGGCAGGUCGGUCUUGAACGACUUGGCGAGCACGGCGUCGUCGACGCCGGUGCCGAACACGGUGACGGGCACGGACACGGUGCCGGCGUUGGCGCUGCCGAAUGCCGAGAGCGCCACGGCGGUCGUUGUCCCCUGGUUGUACUGGUAGUGCACGAGGCCCUUGGGGAAGACGAACAUGUCGCCGGAGACAAGGUCCUUGGUGUAGAGCUUGCCGGCGGUGUCGACGAAGCCGACGGAGAGGGCGCCGUCGAGGACGAGCAGCAGCUCGGAGGCGCGCGGGUGGGUGUGGGUCGGGUUGACGGUGCCCGGUGGGAACACGAGCCUGGCGUACGACACGCUCUGCCCGUUGAGCGCGGGGAACUCGGCCAUGGAGGCCUUGGUGAGCGUGAAGGCCAGCGGCGGCAGCGGCGACGGGUGGAAGCCGGUGUAGGUGAAGUAGUCGCCGGUGAUGUUCAUCGGCAUGCCGACCAUCGACGUUGGCGGGAUGAAGUCGGUGAGGAUGUCCGGGUCGCCGGCCAUGGCGGCCAUCGGCGCGGCCACCAGGGCAACCGCCACCAGCACCAAGGAGUAGAGGUUCAUGGAAGCCAUUAGAUCACAGAUGAUCCUGGCUCUUGAAGCUACUAUUGCUGGUGCUUGUGGCUGUGGAGAUGAUGAGUGAGGGUGCACUGCAAUUUAUAGAAGUCUUGAUUUCCUUUUCUUGGACAGGUGGAGGAACCGAGGACAUGAUGUCUGUUGUCCUGUCCCUUGUGAGAGACAAGGCACACAAUGUGAUGCAUAGAGAAUGCCAAUUUGCUGGCAAGAUUGAAGCCAGCACACCACAAGUAAGGUUUGGUCCUCGGAUGCAUCAAAACUGCCAAGAAUCCAUUGGCCCCUGGGUGAACUUGGCAACACAUGUAGUCUUGCAAUUCUGUGCUGCUUGUUCCAUGUAGUUAAACUGACAUUGUUGAUUGAGAGGUAAAUUAUGGAGAAUCAGAGGAAAAUAAUGGGUAAAUGCGUAUGUACUAGCAACAACUUUUAUGCAGGCAUAUGUAUACUUCAAGGACUCACAAACAUGGUAAUUCGAUCCUCCCAAAAUCAAGAAUUCAUUGGCCCCUGGGUGCAGUUCUGGAAUUCUGUGUGUUCCAUGUCUACAAUUCACAGGGUGGUCCAGUCAUUUGAGCUGGGACAUAAGGCUCUGGCAUUACUUUUAAUUAGUACUCCGCCCGUUCACAAUUAUGAGAUGUUAAUCUGGACAACAUACAGACUGAAAUGAAUGAAUAAACACACUAAAAUGCGUCUAUAUACAUCCGAAUCAGAAAAAAGUUGAAACAUCUUAUAAUUGUUAACAGAGGAAGAAAUUCCAAAAGCAAGGUGAAAAAUAGAUAGAUUGCUCAGAUUUAUGUAGAUAGUCCAAUCCAUAUUAAUUGUCGUUGAUUUGGUACAACUUUGUAUUGUACCUCCCUCCGUUCAAAUCUACCAAAACGUCAUUAUAUCAAAGGGGGUAACAAGCUUUAGCAGCUGAAACUUGCUAUUGGACUGGUUCAUAGUGUAGCUUUCUGUAUUUCGAGUUGAGAAGAGAAAACAGAACAUCCCAAAAAUUAUGUUGCAAAGAUGUGAAAUGAAACUAAAUAAGAACUUGUAUUUACUUCUGUUGAUUCAGGAAUUAGGGCCUUCGAGUUAUUAAAGAGUUGGGUCAAAAGAAACGGGCACAACAAUGGGGAAGCCAGGUAGUACAGACAACCACCAUUAUUCAGGCAAAUUGAAACCACACAGAGUUGCAUCAAAAUCAUGCGCACGAUAAUUUAAUCCUCCCGAAAUAAAAUCUACUUCAGAGGAACUAAAUCUUAUAAACCGUUACCCUCGCAACUAGGGGCACUAUGCAGCUACAAAUAAGGUUCAAUUAUACGACCAGAUGGAACAUUCAUAUAGCUGAAGAAACAUGCAAACAGGGACAGCAACAAAUACAAACACAGUCUGAUAAUAUAAGGUAGAUUUCAUUGCGUCUUAGAUUGUACCAAAAACUCAAAAGCAAUUCAACAUACUUGUGGCACGAGUGCCAAAGUGCCUCGCUGAACAUAAUGAACGUCAAUAUAACAGCGACAUCUCAGUCUACUGGACUAGAAAACAGGCAGCCAACACAUGAGGUAAAUCAG
rnacentral:lncRNA from 1 species